UUUUUUUUUUUUGUAAAGGAUCAACACAGUAACUUAGGCUAGCAAAGUGUGCCAAUCUAUGGGCAACACCGUUUGCUUCACAAUAGAUAUGCCUAAUAUCAAUAACAUCAAACAUGUUCAUAAAAGCCCUACAAUCAUCAAUGAUACGGCUAACCUCUGUGGGGGCAUGAGUCUGUUGAUGCAACGCUGCCACCAAUACUGAGCAGUCACUCUCUACAAGGAUCUCUUUCCAACCGAGCUUGAGAGCUUCUACCAAUCCAAGCCUACAUGCCACUAUUUCCGCAUGCAAAGGAGAAGUGAGAUAAGUGAGCCUCCUUGACCAUGCAGCUUUGACCUCCCUCGCUGCAUCCCUAAUUACCACACUGGCACCACUAGUACCCUCCGCCUGAUACGCCCCGUCCAAGUUCAUUUUCAACCUUCCAGGCGGGGGGGGGGGGGGGGGGGGGCCUCCCAUUUUCUCAUAACUCUUGCACUUCUCAGAUGUUGAUUAGGUGGGUGGAGGCUUUGAUAUUCCUACAGGGACUUCAAAGUCCUAGCCACUGUGUGCAUGGGAUCAAAAGCAUUACCAUUCCAUAGAAAAUUGUUCCUCUCAACCCACACACCCCACAAUAGCAUAACAAACAUCUCCAUCUGACCUUUUUAUAACACUCCCAUCAUAUCAACGACCCAAGUCAGCAUAUCAUUAGCUGUAUGGAGGCGUGCUCGAAGACCAAGGGGACUACACAACCCCAAGCAAGCAACCACACUACAAUUCUUAAACACAUGCAGACUAGUUUCGAGCUCACCUUUGUAAAACAUGCAAUUUGGGUCGUCCAAUUGCACCCUCUUUUUCAUUAGGGCAGCCCUUGUAGGCAAAGAGUCACGAACUAACCUCCAGAGGAAGCUUUUCACUUUUGGCUAAAUUUUCAAGCACCACAGUUUCUUCCACACCUUGCUUGUUUCUUGAGAGGAAGAAGAAGAUGCCACAUCCUGCUGCACAUUAUCUCUCAAAGCAAUACGAUACCCACUCUUCACAGAAUAUGAGCCAUGUGUAUCGAAAUGCCAAACCAGCUUGUCCUCCGGUAGCCGAAAACUAAGCGGGAUCCUUCGAAUCAUCUCAACCUCAUCCUUCAUAAAUAAUUCCUUCAGCCAAUCCAUCAUCCAUUCUCUUGAAUCCGGAUCAAUUAAGUCUGCCACCUUCAAGUCUUCCAACCCUUCCAUCAUUCCCGAAUAGGGUUUGAAGGUACAAGGUCUUGGUAACCAAGGAUCAUGCCACACCGAUAUAUUCUGUCCUGAACCUACUUGGAAGCGUAUACCUUUCCGUAGUAAGUCCCGUCCUUUCAAGAUGCUCCUCCAUGCAUAUGAGUCACCAUUCUCUACCUCCACUCUCAGAAAGUGGUCACCAGGGAAGUAUGUUGCUCUCAAGGUUAGAGCUACUAAUGACUCUGGUUGCUGUAGAAUUCUCCAAGCUUGCUUCGCCAGUAGAGCCUGAUUAAAAGCUUCCAUAUUGCGAAACCCCAAUCCACCUUCUUCCUUCGGAACACACAGUUAAUCCCAUGCAACCCAAUGAAUUUUCCUUCUUUGUUCCGAAUCUCCCCACCAAAACUCAGCCAUACAACGUUGCAUUUCAUGGCAAAUGUGCUUAGGUAACUCAAAUACACUCAUCACAUAUGUAGGAAUGGACUGCACCACUGCCUUUAUUAUUAUUUCCUUUCCUGCUGCACUAAGAUGCUUAUCCUUCCAAUCUUUCAUUUUAUCUCGAGUUUUCUCCAUAAUAUACUGAAAAGCUUCCACCUUUGAGUAACUCACCUCCGUUGGAAGGCCAAGAUAUUUGUCAUGUUUAUCAACCCGUUCCACACCAAACAAAUUUGCUAACUCCUCCUGAACUUCCAUCCCCACAUUCUUGGAGAAAGAGAUACUGCUUUUUUGGUAACUUACUUGCUGCCCCGAUGCUUCUUCAUACAACCUCAAAAUAUUUUUCAGUUUAAUACACUCCUCUUCUGACGCCCUUAUAAAAAUAAAGGAAUCGUCUGCAAAAUAGAGAUGAUUAAUAGAGGGUGCAUUGGGUGCGAUUGAUAUGCCUGAGAUAAAUCUUUUAUGUUCUGUAUACGUCAGCAUUCUUGAGAGCCCCUCCGCAUAUAGUAAAAAUAAAUAUGGUGAUAUAGAGUCUCCUUGCCUUAGACCCCUAGAUGGAAUCAAAUGUCCUCGAGGCUCUCCAUUAAGUAGAAAAGAAUAGGAGACUGUUGUUACACAACCCAUCACCCAUUUUAUCCAGGUACCGUGGAACCCCAUACUCCUCAUCACCUCCUCAAUAAAUCCCCAUUCCACUCGAUCAUAUGCCUUAACCAUAUCAAGUUUCAAAGCACCAUAUCCACUACCGCCUCCAUACAGUCUCUUCAAAUAGUGUGAGAUCUCAAAAGCCAAUAACGAAUUAUCAGAAAUCUGUCUUCUUGGCACAAACGCACUCUGUGUGGGAGCAAUUACCUUCUGGAGUAACGGUUUGAGGCGGUUUGCAAGGACCUUCGACCCCAACUUAUAAAUGGCAUUGCAAAGACUAAUCGGUCUAAGAUGAGUGAUAUGCUCCAUUGUUUGCACCUUUGGAAUCAAAGUGAUGUAUGUCCCAUUCACCUGCCUCAUCAAGGCAUCAGAGUUCAUGAAAUGUCUAACUGCCGAUGUAACAUCCUUACCUACCACCUGCCAGUAACACUGGUAAAAAAUGGGUAAGAAACCAUCCGGACCAGACUCCUUCAUCGGAUGCAUCUGUUUAAGGGCUUUAUACACUUCCUCCUCUUUUAUCUCACUGAUAAACUCAUCAUUCAUCUCAGUUGACACCACAAGAGGGAAUAGAGUGGUAAAGAGAUCGACAUUCUUCGGAUGACUUGUAGUGAAUAAACCACCAUAGUAGUCCAAAACAAUACCUUCCAGGCCCGCAUCAUCUGUACACCAAAUCCCAUUUUUAUCAAACAACCCUCUAAUCUCAUUCUUCUUCUUCCUGUUGAUGACUUUUUGAUGAAAGUAGCUUGUAUUUUUGUCGCCAUCAGUCAACCACAUAACGCGAGAACGUUGUUGCCAAUAGUGGUGUUCAUGCAUGUGGAGCUCAUGCAAACGUCUUUCCAGCUCCCUACGUUCCUCCUCUCUAUGCCAAGAUUGUGCCCUACCAUAAAAACAUGCAAGUUUAUCUCUUGUCUUUUUUAUCUCAAACUUCAUAUUCCCAAACUUUUGACGACUCCAAGCCCACAGUGCUUGUCUUGUCCUUUCAAUCUUCCUACACACAUUAUAAAAAGGAUCCAUGCUCUCCACACUCUCCCAACCACCUCUUACUAUUUCGGCACACUCUUCAUCACGGAGCUAAUUGACGUGUCGCGUAACCGGGGUCAAACAACUUCAAUUUAAUUACCCUGCAAUCGUAGUAAUAUAGACAAGUAGGGAUCGUUCUAGCCGGGGAAACCAAAGGGCGAUCGAAAGAAGAAAAACCAAACAACUUAUAAACAAGUAUUCACAUAUAUACAUCGAAAUAUUGGGGAUUUAAGAUUGAUUAAUUCUAACAAAUAACCUACUGAAAAUUAAACCUAAGAUUAUUAUAUACAAGUGAUCAACAUACUCAUGCAACACAUAACACGAAAAACCAUCAAGAACACAUAACAACUUCAUGCAAGGCCGGGCAGCAACGUUCAAAUUAUCCUAGACUCUAACCAAUUCCGAUUCUAAUUAGAGCCUUUGCGGAUAUCUAAUUGUUAAGACUCCUCAAGUAUUUAGAACUAUCUUUGCGUUUGAUCCUAAACAUGAAUGCUAACUCAUUUAAAGACACGUUGCAUAGAGAUUAAACAAGAAAACACUUUAGCACACGAGUCAAUCGGAAACAUGAUCUAAGGCAUGGCGUCACUCGUCCUAUUAGCAUGCAAAUAGUUAGAACUAUAUCCGCCCUAAGUUAAUAACAAAGACCAAGACAACUUUAUGUAAGAAUCGAUCCAAAAUUAUUAUGGUAGAUGAAACCGCACCUUAAGGACAACCAUGGCCGAGGCAGCCUCAAGGAUUGAUUUAGAUGCACGAAUUCAUGACAAUUAAUCAAUUAGAAACCAAAAACACAUAAGAACAUGCUACUGCCCCAAAACCUAAAUCACGAAAUCAUCAUAUAUUCAAGAAGUUACAAAUCAAAACAUAGAACAAUCAAAGAUCACAAAGAAAUCCGAAAACCAUGUUUGAUAAAUAAAACCAAAAUCGAAAAGUAUAUUACAAUAGAGUUCGAAACUAUACAGAAAAUAAUACAAGAAGCCAUGAGAAAAUCACACUUUUACAACCUUGAAAGAUUCGGCAAGUGUGGGGAAAAUCGGUGGAAGGAUGGAAUGAUUCUUAUGGUUUGUGGUGGAUGAAUCGGCUAAGUAAUUUUCUGUAUAGGGUUUGGUAGAGUUUCGGCUAUGUAAUUGCAAGGGUAGAGAUGAUCUCCUUCUGCCCUUGAAGUCAUGCUUUAUAUAGAGGAAAAACCCUAGAGAAGCCGGCCACAAAGUUGAAACCAAAUUGGUUUAGGUUUCCCUAGUUUUUCUCAAUUCGGCAGAAUGACCUUCGUCUGAUAAUUACGUCAUAAAUCCCUCUAAAAAAUAGAUAUUGAGGUGAUUCCAAUUGAUUUGGAAACUAGACUCCCGUAGCUCUCUAUACAUAUGUAGCAAGUUUUCUGAUUCAUUUUGAGCUGUCCUGGAGAGUCCGUUGAAGUUGAGAGACGUGCACAGGAAUUUUCCCGAAAUUAAUGAGGAUUUUCAAGACUUGGAUAUUCCUUGAUAUUCUGCCGAAUUUAGAUCUUCUUCUCCAUAUUGGACUUGGUUUGGACCUCUCAUUUCAUGGACUAGGCUUCGUGGAUCAGCUGCUUUGUUUCCCUAGGUCCAUCAGGAGCACUUCUCUCGGCAGACAGUAGGUUACUCUGUUCUGGCAGUCUGACCUUCCGGCAAUGAUUCAGGCAUAACUCCAAUUCUCCUGAUUCUUUCUCCCAUGACUCUUCUACAUGUCACUUAUGUAUCAGAGAAGUUAAAUCAAUUUGUGACAAUGUAAAAGCUUUACAGAAUCAUAAGAACAUCUCUAAGGCUCCACAAAUCGGCUUUUGACAAUUUUCUUCAUCAUUCCUCUAUGUUUAACACGUUUUACGCACAACUCUACCAAAAACUUUCAACUCUACAUUAUGACUCUAUUCUACGACAAUAAGAGAUAAUCAAAGUACAAAUGGAGGUAAUAACAUAUUAAGAAUGUCGCAUUUUAUGCUCUUAUCACCAAUAGCCUUCAAAAUAGAAUCGCUUUUUCUUCUUCCUUUUGUUCACUCGAGCCACACAUAUGUCAAUAAGGAUCGGAACAUGAUCAGAAGUAGAGGGCUUCAAAUGAAUUACUCGAGACCCCGGGAACAAAUUUUUCCACUCUUGCAUGGCUAGAAAACGAUCUAGUCGAACUUUGAUCAAUUCUCCUGCUCUCUUCCCUUUCCAUGUGAAAAUAGGGCCAGCGAAGUUGAGGUCGAUCAAACCACUCGCAUUAAUACAGUCCUUGAAGGCUGCCAUCUGUCUAUGACACCUUAACGGUCCUCCCUCCUUUUCUGACGAUCUGAGAAUCUCAUUCAAAUCACCACCUAAAAGCCAGGGCUUUAUAUUGUGACGCCCUAAUCGUCUUAUUAGCUCCCAUGUUAAGUGUCGGUCUUCAACCUUUGAGAAACUGUAGACCCCAGUAAACCUCCAGCUGUCCUCCCCCAAUCCUCCCACAGAAACGUCAAUAUGAUUUUUAGAAUAAGAACACAAAGAUACCUCCACUCCAUCUCGCCAUAAAAGACACAAGCCUCCUGCUCGAGAAACCCUACCAUCUUGGUUUCAAUGAAUAUCACAGUCUACUGUAAAAGCAUUCUGGAAACCAACCUGUCUUCUAACUCUCUCCAUCUCCUUUUUCAGACAACAUGUUUCACAAAGAAAAAUCAUAUCGGGAUGUGUGAGGGUUAUCAACCCUGUAAGCCCUUCUACUGUCCAAGGGUUCCCGAUCCCUUGGCAGUUCCAACUCAUAGCAUUCAUGACUCGUGAUGGGUCGAAGCCUGACCCAUCACGGAGGGACGAUUAGGAGUACGACCUGAACUCUUUUUAGGAGAAACUGAAGUAAUCACAACCUUCUUUAGAGCAUAGCCAACCUUCGUUUUUUUUCCAGCACGCUGUAAACCUUUCUCUUCUCUCUUCAGCGAAUCCCUCCCUUUCUUUUCCGGGCUAGGCUGGGAUAUUUUAUUCAAAUCCAAGCCCAACACUGCUUUAUCAAUUUCGGGAAACACCGUAUUCGGCCCAGUGAUAGAACUUCCUCCAAGUUGCCCUUUUGAACUCGACCCAGCACAGGUACUCGGCCCAUAAUGUUGUUGACCGAUGACCUGUCUCAAUUCAAAUUUCCUUCCUUCCUCCCUCCCAAUUCGAGCAUUAAAAGGGGCCUCGAUUAUUGCCAUACCAUCCUCUCGCAUCAAGUCUGAUUGCGCUACCAAAAUCGAUUGAUCUAAGCUCAUCGCGUCCCCCAAUAAAGAGACUUUCCUUACCGACACAUUCAAUCCCGUAGAAUCCGCGCAAGUUAUUACAUCACUGGCCGAAAAUACGGGCAAACAAAAUUAUGUUGGAGACCCCCUCUAACUCAUUGUGUCCCCGUCUACCGGAGACCUCGUUUUUCGACCAUCCACUACCAAUUUUCAACGCUUUAAAAAUCGAGGGUCCUCCAGAUCUCCUCCUCUCACUCUAUCAACAUCCAUAACAUCUUCAUCUCCUCGUUCAUCCUCACCCGAUACCUCAUCUCUCUCCUCUCUAGAACGCACGUAAUCGGAAGUUGUCAAGUCUGGAGCUGCCAUGAUCCAACCAGUCUGUUUUGGGGGGUGGAGCCCAAAAUGCCACCCCGAGGUGGUGGAUGAUGGUUCUUCCAGUUUAUCUUUCUCUUUCAACCUGGCCAGCAACCAUUCCUCCUUUCUAUCAGCGUUUAGGAGAGAAUCAUAGGUUGGGGCAGUGAGCUCCCCCCUCUCCUUUCUCUGACACCUCCCUCCUGUAUGGUCCAACAACCCACAGAAGAAACAAAAGUGGGGCAGUCUCUCGUACUCCAGCUCGAAACGGUGACUGUCACUCCAUCCUUCCGGUCUGAAAUUUACCCAUUUUCUGAGAGGUCGAUUGGUAUCAAUACCAACUCUUAUCUUCAGGAAAUCUCCCAGGCUUAAUACUCCACUUCCUCGUACCGCCUUGACGAAUUGACCAAUGGCUUGGCCAAUCCGCCUUCCAGUAUUCUGAACAACUCCAUCUCGAAGGUAUAUGGGAGGCAAACCUCUUAUUCGAAUCCAGAAAAAUUGAGUAUUCUGAACAAUAACUUUUAUUUCAAUGUGAAUAUUCUAUUAGGGAAAACUUCCAAGGAAACAUUAUUAGUUCAUUAUUGACUACUUAGUACUUGUUUAUUACUAUAAGAUAUGUUUCUGACUUCAAAUCGCUAUAUCAAUGAUGACUAGCUUCUUUUUCAAUGUUAUUGAAAUCAUCAUUGGAUACCUUGGAUACCUAGUACGUAUUUAUUCGUGUAGAACAGUAUGUUAAUUUAUGUUAAUGUGCAUGAUGACUUCUAUUUUAAACAUUCCUUAAAUGAAGUAUCACUUCACACUUGACAUGAAGUUCAUCUUUUGACCAAAAAAAUCUCAUGUCUAAACUUAUUAUAAUUUGAACGAACAAGGAAAAUAAUUGAGAGUAUGGUGAUCAAGUUACCUAAAUCAAUAUUUUUAAAUCAAUAUCAUAAAUGAAAAUUUUAUACCUUCAUAAAAAGUCAAUUUAUUAGUGGGGAAUUUCUUACCUCUUGAAUCACAAUAGUUUAAGAGCUACCAAAUAUGAAUGUUAAAUUUUCUUUUCAAUUUGUGAAUUUAAUUAAAGUUUUGAUUUUUCUGAUUACCUUAUUAUAAGGAGGAUUAAUUUAUAGAUGGCAGUACGUAUACUAAUAUAAAUGUUUGCAUAUCCUCUUAAUGCCUAUAUAGGUAGCCUAUACCAAAUAUACUUUAUUAAUAACGAUCUAAUUAAUUAUACUAAAUAUUGUUUUUUGUUUUCAUCAAGAUCAUUUAGUUAACUUUUUUAAUCGAGUUGAUUUAGUUACCUUACAUGAACUAAAUCAAAUGCAUUUGUCAGUAAGCCGUGACUUGAUUGAUUAAGGUGUUUAACUAACAACUUUGAGGUUACGGGUUCAAACAUCACGGACAUAUGUAGGAUGUGUGAGUUAUUAAUAAAACGUUUUUUUUUUUAAAAAAAACUAAAUCAAAUGCAUUUCUUUAUGGAGUCAAAUAUUAUAAUAAUUCAUUAGAUUUAGGAUCACAAUUACGAUAUUAAUAAAAUAUAAAAAAAUCUUUGUGAAUCAAAUAGUUUUAGAAUUCUUAAUUCACCAUGAUUUUUCUUUUUAAUAUAUAUAUAUAUAUUCUCCAUCGAACUUUAAAAAUGAAAUAAAAAAAAAAUUCUCUAUCGAAUUUAUAUUGACUGAACUAUAUAGAAACAAAUAUAUAGAUAGGGCAAAUAACACAAAAGUGUCAUUUGAAGGUACAAAUGAUAAAAAAAAUCAUUAAUUGUAUAAUUUUCUCUUUAGAAAAAUUGUGUAUGUGUGUAUAUAUAUUUAAUUAUACUCAGUUCAAAAAUAUGAACUCAUGAGUAAUGAAAAAAAUGGCUUCAAAAACAUCUUUUUAUAGAAUAAAAACAAAAUAGAGUCAUUAGAUAUGAAAGGAUGAGAUUGUAUUUUUAAUCAAAAAUGACAUAGCAUGAUUUUUUUAUUUGAUGAUGUGGAUAUGUGACUUGGCAUGCCAUCUAAGAUAGACCAUAAAUCAUAGGUCUUAAUAAGGUCUAGAAAACAUUUUCCGUUCUAGAACAUGUAUUACAUAUACUACUCCAUGCGCUUGAAAUGGUACCCUUUUGUUAUGUAGUGUGUUUAAUUAACAAAUGUUCGAGUAUUAUCUUUGAAAAUCUAUAUCUUUUGUCUUCUUCUUCUGUUUUUUUUGUCUAAAAUCAUAGUAAAUUUGUAGUUUGAAGAAGUUACUUUAUGGAGUACUUGUUUGAAUUGAUUUUUAUCAAAGAAAUCUUAAUUGAUACAUACAUCAUUGUUACAUCGACAAGUGCAAGGCGUACUUCUGCUUCAUUGUUUGACAACUAAUCAAGUGGAAAAGGUUUUGAUGUUAACAAUGGCUACAAGGUAACCUUGUCUCCAGAUCACAACUACUUAGUUGCUCGAGUCCAAAAACUUGCAUAUGUUUAAUAAAAUGAAAGCGUUUACAAGAUACUUGAUAUGGCAUGUCGACAACAAACUAUUCUCUUAUAAGCUUCUACUCGUUUGUAAAUCCAAAUGAAGCGACCCAAGAAAAUUAAGUCUUAAUAAACCCAGAAUUGGAGAGAAGGAAUGGGGAAGAAUAUGAAAAAUUAGUGCCAACCUCUUAAGAAUGUGAUUGCUGGUGUUAGUGUACGUGAAUCCAUGAUCCAACAUAUAUCUACAAUUGAGGUGAUUUCCCUUGUUUCUUCAAGAAUUAUUGUCUGGUAAGUGGUAACUAGGCACGCUCAUGUAACGGUUGUAACCCAUGCAUCCUUUACUGGUCAUAUUUUCUCACCACAUUGGUGAAACUGAAGAAGAUGAAUGAAACUAAAAAUCAAGUUUAUUACUUGAAAGUAAUACACAUACCAAGCUCGAUCAGCAAAACCCAGAUAGCGUUACUACACAACACACAAAGAUUAACUCGAUCGCUAGCUAGGUAGACAUAAAAACAAAACAACUACCAUACUCGAUGAAAUGAUGAACAAUUAACAAGCUAGGUGGUCUAACAAAGCAGUAUCUCUCAUACUAGCUACAAGAACAAUAUAUAGCAAGGGACCUAAUUGGACCACAGGAAAGUUCCCAUGGCAAAUUUCCUCUUCUGCUCAACAUCUCCGGUGACUUGUAAUCCAUACUCUUUUAGCAGACAAUCCAGCUUCCACUGCGGCAUGGUCUCGUAGUCCGGUUUUUUAUACCUUGGAUAGUGCAGAGGCAUCUGAAAAUAGCCGCCACACCUCUCUUGCUUGUGCUGGCCAUUGGGUUCGUGUGGCCUAGACGACACCGCUUCCAUGCCGCCUCCGCUCAUAGUGAUUUUCCUCUUGAUCUAGCAGACUCCUUUUCUUCUCUACUUCUCUCUGUAACUCUACAAGUGCAAAAUAUGGUUUGAGUUAUAUAUAGACUGAAAGCCAAGCAGUAUAGGAAGGAACGGUGUGCUGAGCUUUGUCCAGGCUGUACUACAAUUAACAUUAAUAGAGGUAAAUAUAACUUACCAAGUUUUCAUACGUAAACGAGGGAGGAGGAACUGAGAUUGUCUUGUUGAGGAAGGUGUAGAGUGCUGAGCACUACUCUUUGUACAGUUGUUCAAUAAUUAGUGGGGAGUGCAAACAAUACUUGGGCACAAAGAAAGGAAUGGUGGAAACAAUACUUGGUAUAUUCCAUUUUGUUAGCUGGGAGAAACAGUGUAGAAUACCAUUUUGUUUGAACAUGUUCGUUUCAUGCCUAGACUGAAGUGUAUAUACAUUUCCCAAAUCAGAUGCAAACUUGCAAAUGAACAAAAAGAGCAUUUCGUAUCCAUUUUUUUCUUUUUGCAAUUCAAACUUGAUCUUAGAGUACAAUCUAGACAUGUCAAUGCUGUAAUGGUGUGUCAACACAAGUUGACCAAAAUUAACAGGCUACAGCAACCUAACUUGAGUUUGUUCAAGCAGCUACCAAGCUACUCUGGCAACAAACACAAGCGACCACAAUGCCAAGGACAGCCCCAGCAAGAACCUGGGAGGGCGUGUGACCAAGUAGUUCCUUGAGCUUGUUUUGGCUGAUUGGAUGCCCUUGGAAUAAGUACUCUACCACUAUAUUUAGCACCUGUAUCAAAGCAGUAGCAAGUCUUUAUAAAAUUUAAAAUAAAAAAAUCCAAGGCAUUGCAACUAAACCGUACUAGAACUACAAAAUAGAAAAGUGGAGAUUCCAACUAAACCGUACUAGAACUACAAAAUCAGCAUGAGACUGUAAAUAAUCAAAGGCAUUGCAGAACUUACAAGACACCUGCAUGCAUAAAUAUAAAGAUAUUUAAAAUGGAUCUCAAUCAACUUGGGAGGAAAAGGAAAUUGAUAGAGAAGACUCCAGUGCAGUUAGAUAGAGUGUCCUUGCAAUUACAUAAACUCUGGGGUUGAUAUCACCUUCCAUUCUUUUUGCUACGUAAAAGUUCACGUAAGGCACAACACAGUAUUUCCUGAUUUAUUUGAUGGGACAUAAUGAUGGGUUGUUCAAGGGGGAUCUACAAGCUGUUUGAGUUCAGAAUCUAGCAAACAAAGUGAAUAGAACAUGCGACAAAGGGGGAAGGUGGAGAAGUGAAGCAGGACUUGUAACUCUCCCAAAUAAAACCUCAAUUCUAUGUGAUCUGACAUUAUAAAAAGUGCAAAAGAACUUCUAACUCUCCCAAAUAAAACUCAAUUCUAUGUUUUCUGACAUUUUAAAAAGUUCAAAAGAACGUGAUGAAUGUCACAGCCCAGCUGUAGGAUACUACUUAAAGUACUGAGGUUGUGGCUGUAUCACAACAAGGCGGUUACCUUCCACUAACAGGUUAGAAAAAGAAAAGAAUCAAAUGACAGGAUGACCUAUCACAUUGUGCUUUGGAACUGCCAUUUCAUGAAAUAGCUCACUCUCUUUCAUGAGUAAGACACUAACGCCACCACACUGGUGCAAUAUCAUUGUGCUUUGGAGCUUCCAUUUCAUGAGAUAGCUCACUCUCUUUCACGAGUAAGACAUUAUUGCCACCACACUAGUACAAUAUCAUAAGCUUGAAAACCCAGUAAUUUGGAUCAAGGUGAUCACAUCCCUAAAUCAAACAUGAUAAUCAGAGUCUUUGUAAGUCUCUCCACCUUCCAAUAUUUCAAUGAAUUAGUUCCUAUUAUGUAGUUACUUUUCAAGUUUUCAUCAAGUUCCUAAGCCUUACCCUAUCCAUUGCACAUCAUCUCAUACUCUUUCAUAGAACUGCAGUAUAGGUGUUGCAGGACUCCAGAGAAUACACAAGUCAGUGUUACAAUUGUCAAUCCUGACAACAAUCUGCUACCAAAGAAACUACAAUACCUCAUUGAACAUCAAACAAAGCUUAAAUUCUAAAGUAGGGUCCACCCUAACACUAAAGAGGGAUGAACUAUCACAACAAAGACAUUCACACAAAUCCCCCACCCAACCUCUGAAACUGUCACACAAAGUAUAAAUCUUCCAGCUAUGAAAUAGGCAUUUUACACCCCCAAUACUAAUCUUCAAGGGCAAGGUGCAGACUACAUAUGGAAUUCCAUUUUGCCUACACAACUCCACUCCUAUUCCACACCAGUUACUCCAAACCACACCGAAUCGUGAUUGGAUUUCAAUAGCAAGUUCAAUUGAAUCAAUCCAAAUCCACAUCCAGAUUAUCAAAACUACUAACCCGCAUAUAUUUUACUAACACCAACCAAAACAUAGUCAUAGCACAUAUUCGAAUCCAAAAGUAAAGAACAUCACCAACACCAUAAUCAAACAUAUAAAGCACAACAAAAGUAAAGACACCAAAUUGCUUCUUACCUCAGCUUGCAUACCAGCAUGUCUCCUCACCCCAGUAGCAUCAUACAUAACAAUGAGACUAAACCCCAAACAAACCGGAAACAACGAGUCCGCAACACCAUGACAAAGCGCCACAGAGGUAGUCAAAGCAGUGCACAAAGCCGAAUGAGACGAAGGCAUGCCUCCAGAAGCACACAAUAUCCUCAAAUCCCACUUCUUCUCCACAAAGAAAUUCAACACCACUUUCAUCGACUGCGCCACAAACCAAGCAAACAUGCCCGAAACAAAGGUCGGGUUCGCAGCCAGUUGAGUCACAAAAGGACUAAUCUUCACCUUGGCAUUCGUUGUCACACUCAUCAACGCUAUCCCAAUCCCACUGUUCUGUAAAAACCCAAAACCAUGAUGCUCAGAAACCCAUUUCCCAGAAGAAGCUAAAACCCUGAUGCUCUGGAGCACCGGGACCAAAACCCAGAUAGGGUUUAACUUGCGGAAAGACAAGGGCUCUGGCCAUCUUGGGUUUCUGGAAUUCGACCUAGGCCGUUGAGAGAAACAAACAAAAGACUUCUUAAGCUUCUUGAGAUGGGAUGAAGUUGCUGUGAAGGGUUUUGGGUGCGGGUUUAAGGGGCUGGGAAUGAAGGAGGUGAAUGGGUGGUUGGUUAUGAUAGAGUCCAUGAGAAGGUUUGAGCUUCAGUCAGCAUUUCAGAGAGACGAAACAGAUUGGUGGAGGCUGGCUUUUCUCAUUUGGAAUGGAGAAGAGAAGAGAAGAGAAGUGUUAUUUAUAUGGGGUGAGGAUUUGUGGCGUAGAAGAAAGGCUUUGGGGUGAUUUUAACGGAUUUGACAUGGAGCGACUGAUUGAGCCAGGAAUAUGCUAGAGGCUCCGAAUACCUAUUCUAUGCUUUUUUGGAUUGUUUAGGGGAGAAUUGAGAUGCGCAUUUUCCCGCAUUUCUUCGUCCUCUAGCAUACUACUGGUUAAGCCUAUGCUUUUUAUUUUUCACUUUAUCUACUUACUGAUAUUGACAUUAGGGGAAUUGAAGAUACAAUUUUGAUCUCUGUAAGAUGUAACAUACUACUUGUGAGUGAGAUUGAAAGUUUGUAACUUGGUCAUUAAGACUCCCAUUUAAGGAUAAGCUGUUUCGAGGUUAGUGUAACCAUAUUAUGAAAGUAACGGUGCCAAAGUAUAUCUUGUUAUAAUCAACUUUUUUUUUUAAACGUUUUAUUAAUAACUUACAUAUUUUACAUAUGUCUGUGAGGUUUGAACCCGUAAUCUCAAAUUUGUCAAAUUUGUUAGAUUCAACUUUAUGUACACAUGUAUUUGAGCUCGCGAAAAGAAAUACAAGUUUUGUCUGUUUUGAUGUUUGAAAUUUUCAGUUCAAGAUGUUUUAAUCAAAGUUUGCAUAUGUCUAAAUUCUAUAAGUUUAUUUCUGUACAUGUGUUUCACGGUGUCAUAAUUCGAUUUAAGUCACUUAACGUAACAGAUGGAUACUGACAUGGGUGUUCUCGUAAUCGAUCAAUAUCACCAUGUAAAUUUAAGGAUUGAAAACAAAAUAUUUCUACUUAACAAUAAUUCUUUCUUUUCUUUUUUUUGAUAGAAACUUAACAAUAAUUCUUUGCACAACUGAAUUUACGUUCAAAAUCAGUUGAGCAUAAUUUUUAUGGUCAUCUAUUGACCAUGCGAACAUACUUGUAGUUACAAAUCACUACCUAGCUGCCCCAAAUUAAAAAAAUUAAAAUUAAAAAAACCGUUAACCCGACCCGAAAUAUUAGCGCCAAAGUUCGGGUCGAUCUAUCCACACAGUGUACGAAGUUUUCAAAAGUUUUCGUACCAAACUGAAACUCCGUCGCUUCCUUCGCCANNNNNNNNNNNNNNNNNNNNNNNNNNNNNNNNNNNNNNNNNNNNNNNNNNNNNNNNNNNNNNNNNNNNNNNNNNNNNNNNNNNNNNNNNNNNNNNNNNNNNNNNNNNNNNNNNNNNNNNNNNNNNNNNNNNNNNNNNNNNNNNNNNNNNNNNNNNNNNNNNNNNNNNNNNNNNNNNNNNNNNNNNNNNNNNNNNNNNNNNNNNNNNNNNNNNNNNNNNNNNNNNNNNNNNNNNNNNNNNNNNNNNNNNNNNNNNNNNNNNNNNNNNCUUUUCUUGUUAUCUCUCUCUCUCUCUCUCUCUCUCUCUCUCUCUCUCUCAUACCUCCGAAACGAUUCCAAACCGACUCGACUCAACUCGCCGAUCCCACUCGUUCGUCCGAUGGAGAAUCUGAUCUCGCUCGUGAACAAAAUCCAGAGAGCAUGCACAGCCCUCGGCGAUCACGGCGACGAGAGCACAAUGCCGACUCUCUGGGACUCCCUCCCCGCCAUCGCCGUCGUCGGCGGCCAGGUCUGAUCUCCGAUUCUCAUUUUCCUCCUUCAAUUUCGAUCCUUUAAUUUCCAAAUCGCCGACUUCUUUUAUUUGCUUUUGUAGAGCUCCGGUAAGUCGUCGGUGCUGGAGAGCAUUGUCGGCAAAGACUUCCUACCUCGCGGCUCCGGUAAUCUUCUCACGCGUCGCUCAUAGAUACGACGUCGCUUUCUGGUUUCUGUUUUGGUUUUCAUUUCCAGCUAUUGGAUUGAGGCUUUUGAAUUGCUGUGCAGGAAUUGUGACUCGGCGUCCGCUUGUGUUGCAGCUGCAUAAGAUCGACGACGGGAGAGAAUACGCUGAGUUUAUGCACCUCCCGAGGAAGAGGUUCACUGAUUUCGGUACAUUUCUUUUUUCUUUUUCUUUUUUUCCGGAUUGCAGUUUGGGAUUAUCUGUGGAUUUUUAUAUCGUUUUCUUCUAUGUAGCUGCUGUUAGGCAGGAGAUAUCUGAUGAGACUGAUAGAGAGACUGGCCGGACUAAGGCGAUUUCGAGUGUGCCAAUUCAUCUCAGUAUUUUCUCCCCUAAUGGUGAGCUAGCAUUGUUGCUCAAAUUUUGCUACUUUUUAUAUGAUUGUGCUGACUUGAAUAACUUCAGAAAUCAGGUAUCUAGGAUUGCAGGAAAUUUGUAAUUGGUAGCAAUUGUUACAGGCGUAGAUGCUUUCUUUCACCAUUUUUUUAUGAAGAACCGAGUAUAUUGAUAGGUAUCAUUGACGUUAGGAGUUAGGACAUCUCCAAUUUUUCGGCCUAAAUUGCAUCUCGGACAAGGAGUCUAGUCUAUUUCAAAAAAUUAUAUUAGGGGUUUAAGGUCCAAAGUUUGUUUAUACAUAGACCUUGUUGUAGACUACAUGCAAGUUGUUUGUGGGAAAAUUAUGUGAAUAUAAUUCAGCUGUGAUUCCUGUGAAUGAUUGAUUCAAGAUGCGCAUAUUAUAGACCCUGCUAUAUGGAUGGAUAGUACUUUCUGGAGGUCUUAAUAUUUUAGACCAUGGGCUAUUUUAAACUAAAAAAUUCGAGAUGGCUUUUGACAUCGUAUGGUAACUGUCUGGAUUUCAUUAUAUUAAGUACUUCCAGAACACUGUUAUUUUAUCUGCUUUUAUGCUUUUAUUCAUUCUUAUGAUUUGCUUGCACUUGGCAGUUGUGAACUUGACACUAGUAGAUCUUCCUGGACUCACAAAGGUAGCUAUUGGUGAGUAAUAUUCCUUGAGAUUUUUGUGUGCACUAUUAUUGUUAAGCUCUCUUGGCAACUUACAGGAAUUAACCUGACAUUGUGUAUAUUUGGUGGUCUUGUAGAUGGUCAGCCAGAGAGCAUAGUGCAGGACAUUGAGAACAUGGUUAGGGCCUUCAUCGAGAAGGUAAUCUAAGCAAAUGGUUGAGAAUAUUUACUAGAAACUAGGUCAUGAGAUUUCAUAAUAAUGAAUGGUGUUGAUUGCAUUCCUCUAUUUGAUUUUGUGCUAGAGGUUCAUAUAUAUGAUAAACAUGCUAAUGGGAAAGAUGGAGAUAGAAAGAGUUGGAGCGAAAGUUGAUUUGAGCAAAAGAGAAAUUCUAUGUGUUAAUGCACCUGACAGUUGAUAGAUGUUUUUACAGCUAGUACAGUACAAUGUAAUAUAAGCACAUGCCUGGCUUGUUACUUAUCUUCAAGUAAUUGUUUGUUUCUUACCAUAUGGGUUCUCUUGUAGCCCAACUGUAUCAUUCUGGCUAUUUCCCCUGCCAACCAAGAUCUUGCUACGUCUGAUGCAAUUAAGAUCUCUCGUGAAGUAGAUCCCAAAGGUAAGCUUAUGAACAAUGUUCUUAAGAUAUCCUAGAUUUUGACCUUGGUGAAAAGAAAAGUCAAAGAGUAAGUUCUGAUUUAAGUUUGUGAACAUAAUGAGAAUUUGGACAGCAAAGCAGGGAAUUGUGUGUGCUACGGUUUCAUUUUAUCAUUUUUAUGUCACAUGAACAAAAGGACUUGCACGCUUUUGUUCAUAUGAUAGUGUGCAUGUUAUUUUAGGAUUGCAAAUUGCUCUUAUUUAGAUUAGUCUUCCUUUUAUGCACACUGACUUUAAGUUGUUUGUAUUCCAAAUGAUCAGGGGAGAGGACAUUUGGAGUUCUCACAAAGAUUGAUCUCAUGGACAAGGGUACAAAUGCAGUUGAUGUAAGUUAGCUUUAUUUUUACUUCCAGAAAGACUUGCCACUUUGAAGUGUGGGGGGUAUGGGUUUUUUUUUUUUGGGGGGGGGUAGAGAGAGAGAAAUUCUGGUUGCGUUUGAGAAUGUUAUUCUGUUAUGGGUCAGUUACAUUAUAUGUAUUAUGAAUGAUGCCUUUUGUUUUCUCUGUUUUUGAAAUUUUUAAUUCUCUGUUUAGGGUUUGGUUUCAACACUGCUAGACUUGUUAAUUAGGUCAAAGUAAAUGGUAGCUUUACACCCUUCACCUUUGGUGUUAGGAACUCAUUUGGAUGAACUUGAAACGAAUGAAACCCAAUUUAACUUUUCAUUGCCAUCUGUGAGCUGAUUUUGGAAUAUCAGUGCAGUCAGAUACAUAAUCGUUUUGGCUUUUAUAGCUGUAUUUUACUCAAUAUUCUCCUUACAGUAUCAUUUCGGUUGCCUUCUUUGGAGUUUCUCAUUUGCCAUCGAUCUCUUUACUUCACAUUUUAGAUUUUGGAAGGAAGAUCAUAUAAACUACAGUUCCCUUGGAUUGGUGUUGUCAAUCGCUCCCAAGCUGAUAUAAACAAGAGUGUUGAUAUGAUUGCUGCUAGGCGCAGGGAGCGUGAAUAUUUUGCUAAUAGCCUGGAGUACAAGCAUCUCGCGACCAAGAUGGGAUCUGAGCAUUUAGGAAGGGUGCUGUCAAAGGUAUGUAGGUCUGUUCUCCUUAGUGCAUUACUUCUGUUCCACUAUUUACUAAAGUUUCAUGCUCAAUCUAAAUGAUUACACUUUCAGUGAAGAAUCACUGAAAGAUAGUGUGUGCUUUCUUUAUAUUAGGUUGGCUACAGUCCUGACUUUUCUUUUUGCUUCAGUAAAAGAUUCUUACGUGCAACUGUGCAAGUCUAAAAUAUGAUCAAAUUUUCAGCAUUUGGAACGCGUCAUCAAGUCCCGCAUUCCAGGCCUUCAGUCUCUUAUAAGCAAAACUAUAGGUGAGCUAGAGGCAGAACAAAGCCGACUUGGGAAGCCCAUUGCUGCUGAUACUGGUGUAAGUUACAGAGGCACAUAACACCUUUCAUCUCAUCUUUUUGUUUUUCCCUGCCAAUUGAUGUAUCCAUAAAUCAGAGAAUCGUUGCUGUUUGAUGUUUCCGUUAUAUUGUUUGUUCAUUUUUUCACAUGCAGGGAAAAUUGUAUGUAAUAAUGGAAAUCUCUCGUACUUUCGAUCAGAUAUUCAAAGAACAUCUUGAUGGCGUGUAUGUAUUCUUCUAUAGUUGCCUCAUGUGAAAUUGAUUGAAAUUAUGUUCCCAUCUCAUGUUGAUUUCAGAAUCGAUCUAACACUGGGGUUGAUGAUAAAAUUAUGUUUCUAGGCGCUCUGGUGGUGAUAAAGUUUACAGUGUGUUUGACAAUCAAUUUCCAGCUGCUUUGAAGAGAUUGCAGUUUGACAAGCAUCUUACAAUGGAAAACAUUCGAAAGCUAAUUACUGAGGCAGAUGGAUAUCAACCUCAUUUGAUUGCUCCUGAACAAGGAUACCGUCGUCUCAUUGAAUCUUCCCUAAUAUCCAUCAAAGGUCCUGCAGAGGAUGCUGUUGAUGCUGUAUGCUUCAUAGAUUUUUACCUGUGAUCUCUCUAGACAUUUGAACUGGGGGAAUGAUUUUCCCAUAUCAAAAACCAUUCCAAAACUGUGAUUUUUUUUUUUCCAUGUGCAAAAUUAAUUUCAGCCUGUGGCAACCGUGCAGCAUGUGAUGUACACUUCCGUGAAUUGAUUUUCUGAAAAGGAUACGAGUAUUGACUUUUGUGUUUGUAUUCUGCAAGAAAAUUUUCUUUUCUUUCCAAAGCUUCCACUGUUGUUACUGCUGCUAGUGGGAUAACAUCGUAACAUGCACUAUGUAUCUGUUUCAAAUCAUUUUGCUUGAUAUUCUUUCCUCGUGAUUUCAGGUUCAUGCCAUAUUGAAGGAGCUGGCUCAGAUGUCUAUCAGUGAGACCUCGGUAUCUUCCUGAACAUACUGAAUUAUAUCUUAAAUUUGUUUUCUAUUUGGAUGAAUUAUCCUAAAUUUGUUUAAUCUCUUAAUAUAUUAAUGUGAUGUCUUUCCUGUGGCAUGUAGGAAUUAAAACAGUAUCCCACUUUAAGAGUGGAAGUUGGGAAUGCAGCAUUUGAAUCACUGGAUAGGAUGAAAGAAGAGAGCAAGAGAGCAACUAUGCAACUAGUCGAUAUGGAGUGUGGUUACCUGACUGUCGAAUUUUUCCGCAAGCUUCCUCAGGAUAUUGAAAAGGGGGGAAACCCGACACACUCACUUUUCGACAGAUAUAACGAUUCGUAUCUCCGGCGGGUUGGUAAGUAGCUGUAACUUGAAGUACAUGUUAAACCACCUCAAUCAUCUCCUUUAUCUCAUCACUUAAUUAAACGACCUGUUUAUACUUGAUUUAAAUUCUACUGCGAUUAGAACCACCACUUAAAGCGAGACAAUUUGAAAAUGAAAUAUAGUAGUUGCUGGCUCAAUCUACUUCACUUCACCUGCUAAUUUGAGUUCAAAUGAUAUGUGUGAUAAUAUUGUUAAGGAAUUUAAGUCAGCGAUCUCAUUCACUGUUUCUUGUCUUUGUCUCUUGAAACAAACAGGAAUCAAUGUGUUAAACUAUGUGAACAUGGUGUGCUCGGGUUUAAGGACUGCUAUUCCAAAGUCUAUUGUCUACUGUCAAGUACGAGAGGCCAAACGCAGCUUACUGGAUCACUUUUUUGCAGAACUCGGUUCUAAGGAGGUGAGUUGAAUACACAGAGGAAGAGGAACGUAGUUGCUGAGUUGAACUUUGCUAAGUUGUUAAUUGACAUAUACCUAUAUAAUUUUUUGGCAGAAAGGUCAGUUGUCUAGGAUGUUGGAUGAGGAUCCAGCAGUCAUGCAACGUCGUACCAGCAUUGCGAGGAGGCUAGAGUUGUACAGAAGUGCUCAGGCAGAGAUUGAUGCAGUUGCUUGGUCCAAGUAGUAAAUUGGGGUGGCAAUUAACUGAUUUUUCUCAAUUCCUUACGAUGAUGAGAGACAGAAUUUAGUAAUAGGAUAACAGUGACACUCUUUCACUCUUUUAAGUCCUGAUUACCAACUCUUCCUGCAUAUCAUCACGAAAGAGUGAGGUUAGCGGGUUAGCAUUUUUGUCAACUCAUCAUGAACUAGCGAACUGCUGUAUCAUAUGUUAAAGAUGAUCAGCUCAAUAUGUUUGGAUCUACUAUUUGGUUUUGUUUCCAUUUCCAGAUUCUUCUUUAGGAAACCCCCAUAUUAUUGGGUGGUUUAGUCUAAUUGUGGGGUGGAAUCCAAUCAUGUCUUAGUCUUUCAAUUUUGAAUUGAAGAUUGAAGACAUCAAGAUGCUGAAACAUUUGAAAUAAAUACAAAACUUCUGGCCAAGAGUAGUCUUUAAUGGAAUAAAAUUAGCCCGAGUUCAUUCUUAAUUUCGUCUCGCAUCAGAAUGCAAGAUUAGCAUAAUUGUUAGUUGAAGUUGCCUCUGAUUAGCGUGUAGAGGUAAGCAAUUUGGAUUUGCUAUUAGUUCAAAGCAUAAGGAGCCAUACCAUGAGUUCUCCUAUUACAAGCUGUUAGAAAAUGAUGGAUCUCAUUACCUUUUCAAACAGUUCAGCAGGAAGCAGAAAAAGAUUGGUUAAUCCAUUCUUAUAAGAUGCAAUUUGAUAUAUAUUUUUGUUCAUGUGUGAUUAUAAAUUGAAGAAUAGCGAUCUUGAAAGAUAGAAGGAUGAUAAGCUUUGGUGAAAAGGAGGCAACAAUUCUUGUUUUAGCUUCAUUCACAACAGUGUGAAAGAAAAACAUACCAAGUAAUGUUACGUUUUCUAACAGUCAGCAGAGACUACUACUUAAGCAUGGCUAUGGUUUCCAUCCAAUGUCCUAACUGUCGCAGAGAUCACCAUUGAGAAUCUAACAAUCGAUCAGUGCAAUCGCAGACACAAAUUUACACAAUGAUACUACAAAUGUUUUUUUUUUACUGAAAUAUAUGAACUACAAAUGGUAUCUAUUAGGGUGAACAAAAUUGAGAUCAAACUACUUUUUCAAUUGGAAUAAAAGUAUCUAUUUACUACAAAGUUGUGGACUUGUGUCAUCAUUGUGAUUUUUCAAUUGCUGGUAGUAACAUAAGGGAAAUUGCUUCGUCUAGCCAUGAACUCACCAAAUACCAAAAUGCAAGGCGACUUUGACCUAUGUUGCUUGAAGAAUAAGUCAGAUAAGGACUUUGCAGUCGAUGAUGCGGGUGUGUCUAGAGUUUACAAUGUCAAAUACAUGGGGAUGAGAAAUCUCAGUAGAGACUCUAUUAGUAGACUUAUGUCUUAAAUACAACUAAAACCAUUAGUAAAUUUAUGUCAUAAAUUUUUUAUUACAUCAGUUACAAAAUUUGUUCUUGUGACUUGUGAGCAGUUUAAUGGUUUACUAAAAAAAAUAUGGUAAAUAAGGUUGAUCCUCUGUCUGGCAACCAUCUCCUUGAUUUUUUCUUUGCUGGCCAGUGUGUUGGCGAAAUCUAUCUUUGCAGCUAAGGCUUGAAUGGUCCGACUAAACAGGAAUCUCAUUCACUGUUUCUUGUCUUUGUCUCUUGAAACAAACAGGAUGUUAAACUAUGUGAACAUGAUGUGCUCGGGUUUAAGGACUGCUAUUCCAAAGUCAUAGAGAUAGAAUUGAGUAAUAGCAGUGACACUCUUUUAAGUCAUGAUUACCAACUCUUCCUGCAUACCAUGCAUCAUGAAAGAGUGAGGUUACCUGUAGAUCUCAGCGUGGUCGAAACCCUAGUUCUGAUGAGAGUCAGUCUCUCGCCCGUGAAAAUGCAGUGUCCGAAAAAACAAAAAUAAAGUUUCACCUCAUUUAUGACAUCGAUACAUAAGCCGACGCCCCAAAGUUAAAGCCAACAAAAUCUGGUUAACCUCUCGUACAAGAAUUUCUUAUUGAUCAAGUAAGAACUUCUAUUUGAGUUUAAGUUUGUUCUGAUUGAUUUUGUCUAAUCUUAUGGGAACUGAAAUUGAGUUUGAUUGUGUAUAAUUUCAUGGGAUUUGAAGUUGUCAAUUGUUGGGUAUGCUAUAGAUGUUGAGUUGGUGGAGUUUCCACCGGUGAGGGUGGUGUCUUCUUUUGUGCUAGGUAGAAGCAGAAGGUGCAGAAUGUUGAGAGCGAGGCAUCUCUGAAAACCUAGGGUUUGAAAUUGGGGAAUUUUCUUGAUUUCAAGAGUCUCUCGAGUUUCUUAUAUAGGCUUAGGAACUGGCUCUAAAUUCUCUGAAUUCACUAUAUAAAUGAAACCCAAAAAACGAAGAUGCUUAUGGAGGGAAGUGUUUCAGAGUUAAGCAUUUGAUAACUUCACCUGUGCAAUUGUGACACAAGAUUCUCCCAGCAUUACAACAAUUUCAAGUGUCAUGUUUAACAAAACAGAAGAAAAAACAUGUGCAUUUACCCACUCUAAAGUUCAGAGUACUAACUUAAUCAAAAAAAAAAAUUCGGAGUACUAAUAUAGUUUAUCGGGAAGUUUUUUUUGAUAUCUAAUGAAUUGGUUGUACGAAUUCUCUAAUCAGCUUUCACAUUUGUGUGGGAAAAAAACAUUAGUCAAGAAUAUUAGGCACAAAGUAUACAUGUUUUCCCUUAAAAACAUGUGCAUUUACCCACUCUAAAGUUCGGAGUAAUAACUUAAUCAACAACAAAAAAAGUUCGGAGUACUAAUAUAGUUUAUCAGGAAGUUUUUUUAUAUCUAAUGAAUUGGUUGUACAAAUUCUCUAAGAGUACGGCUAUUAGGACCUCCAAGUUUGCUCACUUGACCUCACUCUAUUGUGAAUUAUUAAAUGACAUAUUUAUCCUCUUACACAAUGACUAUUAAGGACACUAAUUAAACAAAAAGUAAUGUUACAUUUAUUCUCUCUAAACUUUCUAAUUCAAUAAUAAUGGAUUACAUUUUAUUAUUUUCCUUAUUGAUUUUUAUUUUCUAAUUUACCACAUACUUAUUAAAGCAUUUAUAUAUUUAUAUUAUCAUACAUGUCACAUGCUUAUACAAAGUGAAAAAAUAUUUUUACAAAAUUAAUGAUCUAUCAAUUAUUAAGUAAUAAAUAAAUAAGUAUCAUAAUAUUUUUACAAAAAUUAUGAUCUAUCAAUUAUUAAAAUNNNNNNNNNNNNNNNNNNNNUGUCUAGUGACAUUUUUAUGCAAAAUAAAAAAAUACAAAAAAUAAAGAAAAUGAAGAAAUCAAGGUUGGGAAUGAAGGUUUGCGUUAAAAAGAAAAAAAAAUUAAAGAAUGGAAGUCAGGAAUGGAUGUUCGUAUGACAAAAAGAAAAAAAAAGAAUUUGAGGUAUAGUGAGUGAAUAAGAGGUGUAAUGAGUAAUAUACUAAUAUAUAUGUGAAUUACAUAAACAAGGCUAUUUUAGGAAUUUGAAAUGAGGUCUAAUGAGAAAAUGCUUGUAUUUAAAAGUAAAAUGGAGGUGUAGAAAGAAUGAGAGGUAUACUGAGUAAAUUUGGAGGUCCCAAUAGCCGCACUCAUUCUCUAAUCAGCUUUCAUAUUUGUGUGGGAAAAAAACAUUAGUUGAGAAUAUUAGGCGCAAAGUAUACAUGUUUUUCCCUUAGCAAGUGAACUAACACCAUGGAUUCAGUUGGCAACAAAGACUUUCCAAUUAAUCAAUCCCCUCGGGUUUGAGCAUAACAUAUAUAUUUGCUGAUGUUUUUUCACAAAACUUGCGAAAAUGGGGCUUGUUGCCCUUAGCUAGUGGAAUAAUACCAUGGAAAGAAGAGAGGAGAGAGUCUUCAUUGAUGUGGGAGGUAGUGCCUUGCUUGUGAAUAAGAUGAACGAAUGUGAAUCACACAAGUUAUAAAAGAAGCUCACUUCAUUAAGCGCUUGAUCAGAUUGCCAUCAUCGAAUACUCAGGCUCUGAUGGGUGGGGGAAGCUAACAUGUUCAUCGAAAUGAACCUCCGUUGGGGAAUUGACACGGUAAACACCAAGUACAUCAGUACCCUCCGGUAUCCCUUGAGUUUGGAACAUUAUUGUUCAAAACACUUGGAUAUGCUAACUGUUAGAUAUGCUUAAUUAGGGAACUGAUACAAAAAAAAAAAAAGGAACUAGAAUACAUUCUAAUAUAGCUGAGCAUGUUUCAUAGAAUUGGCUNNNNNNNNNNNNNNNNNNNNCAUAUCUGUGUUUCUUGCAAAAUCUGGCUUCUACACUUCAAUUAGAUUUCGUUCUCCAUUAGAGUCUAUGUUGUUCUCCUCGCUUUAUUUUCUACAGGGUCCAUACUGAUGGUGUUUUUGUUCCAAUCAACAUUUAGAGAUACAAAUCAUACAAUAUCGCUAUUACUCUAACUUAAUUAAAAGGGUUUGGAAAGCUCAUAUUUCCUUGUCCAAUGUAUUUACUCUUAAAAAUUUUCUUCCCCUUGUUGGACCUAAUUAAGCUGUUAAAGUACAAGAUUUCAUUAUGGUAUCUUGUAAUACACAACAAGUCAACUUCAUAGCUUCAUCACUCAUCCAUCUAUAUAUCAUUACAUAGCCCUCAAAUCAUUCUUUCUUCUUUUAGUUGUUGUACAUGAAUUUCCAAAUACUGAAACUUUAUCAGGUUUUCCAAGAUGAUGAUGAUAUGAUUGAUGUCUCUCCUUAUAAUAUGAAAGAGUUCAAUGGAAACAGUUCAUACAUUGUUGGGGAUUUUCUUUUUCCAAGAAUUGGCGGGAAAUUAUUAUCAAUCAGCAACCACUGGGCAAAAACCCCACCACCACCCACCAACCAUAACCCAAUAUUACUUCAAGCCCAAGAGACUAAAACCUCUCAACCUCCUGAAUAUGCUUCUCUUUCACAAAUCACAACCCACUUUGUUCAUGAUUCAGUGCCACCUCUUGUUCUGAGCCUAAGAUCUCAUUUCGACACUUCGAGUUUCUGAAAUGGCGAAUCCAGGGACGUGGAGUAUGGUUUUGAGGUUAUGUGCCCUAAUCCUUUUCUUGGAGGCCAAGGUUUUUGUUUUGGGUGGUGAUGAUAGUAAUGUUCAGGGUGGUAAUAGUAUAGAUGGAUCUGGUGGAGUAUCAGAGCUUUGUGUUAAUGAUCUUGCUAGUUUCAUGCCACCACCAUAUGGUAAUUCAUCUGAUAUAGUAUGCAAGCCUAUUUGGAACACUUUUGUUUUGAGGGUAUGUCAUUUUCUUCACCUCUUUUUUUCUUGUUAUGUUUGAUUAAUCUAUAAGUUGAUCAUUCUUUUUUGUUGCAGUACACCCAAACUGAUGAUCAUGUAAUGAACAUUAUAUUAUCUGCUGUAUACACCACUGGGUGGGUAGGAAUGGGAUUUUCCAGAGAUGGAUUGAUGGUUGGUUCAAGUGCCAUAGUGGGAUGGGUUAAUAGAAAAGGUCAAGCAAGAAUUAAGCAAUACUAUUUGCAAGGUUCAAAGUCUUCACAAGUCAUACCAGACAAAGGUGAAUUGCCACUUACUGGUAUUCCUGCUACUCUUGUGCUUCAUGGCCCUAGGAUUUACUUGGCAUUCCAGUUGAAAUUCCAAACUCAGCUUGCUCGGCAACCACUUAUCUUGGCCGUUGGAAGCGGUUAUCCCAAGCACAACAACCACUUACCAGUACACACCGAUAAAACCACAAUCAAGUUUGACUUCUCUGCAGGUUUUGUUCAUCUCCUUGUAGGCUAUCUUGCUCUCUUCACAGUCAUCUUAAUUUGUUCCUUUCUAAUUUCCUGGCAUUAUAUAUGAGGGCUUCUUUCACUCUUUGAGACUAGUUUUAGGUUGGAUGUUCUAAUAAUUCUAAAUCUGCAUUCCCCAUUGUGUGGUCACACAUGUGAGAUAUCAGAGAUCAGACACAUGCAACCAUUACCAAUUAGCUUUAUUUCUCUCUAUUAGACCAGACACAUGCAAAUGCAUUCUUUUUAGCAGUUGCUGGAUAUACAUUGUUGGUUUGUUCACAGAGUGAAAACGUUUUACAGGUUCUGCAUCUGAGGCACAUAUUGAUUUUAAGCAGAUGAAGAAGAACCAUGGAAUAUUAGCUAUAUUUGGAUGGGGUCUAAUCCUUCCUUUGGGGGCAAUUGUCCCAAGAUACUUCAAGCACAAGGACCCUUUGUGGUACUAUCUUCAUUCGAUUAUUCAAUUUGUGGGAUUUGUCAUUGGACUUGCAGCAGUGGUACUUGGACAACAACUCUAUGCUAAAAUAGAUGCCAACUUUCAUACACAUAGAGGAAUUGGAAUCUUUGUUCUUGUGCUUAGUAUCCUUCAGGUUUGUUCCUCACAAUUGUAUCCACUUAUUGUACAGUUGUUACUGUUAUUCCCUGACCAUAAGUUGAUCACCUUGAGUUUUUGACCUUUGGAUUUCUAGAUAUUGGCAUUUUUUCUAAGACCAAGCAAGGAUGCCAAGAUUAGGAAGUACUGGAACUGGUACCACCACUGGUUUGGAAGGCUUGCAGUCUUCUUCGCAGCUGUGAACAUAGUACUGGGGAUCAAAAUUGGAGCUCCCGGAAUUGAAUGGAAGAUUAGCUAUGGAUUUUUUCUUAGCAUAAUUCUUCUCGCUGUGAUUGUUUUAGAAACUUUGGCAAGAAUGAGGAGGACAGAAACUAAGGAUACCAUGCCUCCAAACUUCCAGAUGAAUCCGGUUCCAUAGGCGGCAUUCAUACUCCUCGAAAAGGUCUGUUUGUUCUUUCUCUUGAAGUGUAGAGUUCCGUUCCUUUAUGGUGCAAAGCAGGAUGAGAAAUGAUUCCAGGCUCGGCAUCUCAGAAAAAUUACAACUUGCUUUCUUCGCCACUGUGAAAGAGGCCAUUCAGAGAGUUGUUUUUCAAUCUUUUUUUGUUUUUUUUUGGGUGAACUAACUCUAUAUGGAUACUUGGUAGUUGACUGCAUAGUUGUGUGUUGUGUUCCUAAAGCUAACGUGUUUUCAGAUGUCAUGAAUGGAUGUAUGGAUUGAGCAUUUGAGCUUCUUUAAUCAUUUUGGCUGUUCCAUGUUUCCAUAGGUAGAGAUUUGUUUUGUUAAUUUGAUAUGAACCAAAAGUUCGAUGCGGCUAGCCAUGCCGGAGCAAGACUAGCCGGCUGAAUUAAGAUGGCUAGGAUAAAAGGCUAGGGAUUUCAUGGUGGCUGUAAGCCUGUAACUAACACCAAGGUAAUGAAACAAGGAAGCAACAACACUUGAUAUGAGAUUGCGAUUCAUAAGGAGAUUGGCAUAUCAUGACCACACUGUCAACAUUAAAGUUAAGUACAGUUCAAAAUAUGAAAGGAAAUGGAUUCAAAGGGAGCAGAGAACAACGAGUGUCUUGAACUAUUUUGAUUCUAAAAUGAAUGUAAAACAAACGGUUAAUGCACUCGAAAAAGAUCAAAGAAUCUCCUUCCACUUGGAUUUUCCAGAAUUUCGAAGAACAUAAGAUUUCAUUUGUUAGGAACAAGCAAAGGCUUAAUCUGAACUUAAACAGGCAAAAGUUUUACAAGAAUCGAAACAUCAUUGCAAGUGCAACACAACAAUGACUCACUGACACUGUGCUAAUACUCGUCUAAAAUGAGAUAAGGAAUGUUAACAAAGAAUAAAGUCAUGUACAAUUGAUCCAAAUUAAAAAUCAAAAUCCCAUUUAUUGUAACCAAAAUAAAUAUCAGUUUUGAAUGCGCUGUGGUUCCAACAUCCAGAAUAACAAAAUUUCUUACUAUGUGAUGAACCAAAAUUUUCACCCCAUAAGCUCUUCCCACUGAACUUCCAACAAAAGUAAUCUUCCUACUGUAACCUGCACAGACGAAGUAUACAUACAUUUGAUCAGGAAAUGUUAGUAAGAAAUUCCAUUAACAAUAAGAUGAGAAUAAAUUGCUACAGUAAGGCUUAGGCAGAGAGCACUGACCUGAACUCUUUUACGCCAACCAUGUAUAAGUAGAAUAUCACAAGGUUGUGAAUGUAAGAGCCAAGGGAUCAAGUAAAUCCUGUCCCUCCUGCAUAUAAUCGAAAAGAAGAUUCGGGUCCCACUUUUUUCUCUAAAGUCCUGCCACACGGGAUAGUUAACAAAAACAAGUAAGGGUUUUAUGUAGCAGUAGCUGUGCAGUUUUCACUCGAUGGAAAGCUGAUGGGUUUCGAAGCAUCAUUCCCCCUGACCACCCUGUUAUAUAUCACUUUGAAGGACUGUGAGCCAUAUGGUCGACUCAGCAAACUUACUGGCAUUCUCAGAGUCUGCUUGCGGUUUCUUCUGCCCCUUAUCAAAAUGGUGAAGGUUUUCUCUCCAUCACUAGUCCUUUCAGCACUAUUUCCAACUUUUCCAUUGGGGCUGUCACAUGGUUCUGUUUGAGCAUUUUCAUCCCCACAAAGAUCUGGACCAACUUCCUUGACACUUUCAAUUGAAUUACAUGUUGCCUCUGAUGUUAGAAUACCUGCUUCAUUCUUACUUUCCCCCACAUUAUCGAUGUCCACUGGCAGAACUGGAGCAGAAUCAUCAUUCUGAAUUCUUGACUCCAGAGGAGGGGGAUCAGAAAUAGGCUCAACAACAGGUGCUGGGGCAGAGAAUUCCAUUGGGUGGCAACCAUGCCAAACUGUUGUAGGUACAAACUCGGACACAUUAGGGUUCACGUUGCACUGCCACGCGAAAUGGUUCGGAUGAAACGCACUAGUCACAGGAUAGGUACUGGUUCGUACAACUUGGGGUUGACUGUAAGGAGGGAACAUAAAUGGCAAUGGCUGUAUGAUGUUUGGGGUAGUAGGGGGAGAAGGGUAUGCAUGAUGAGGAGAGGAGCACAUGGGAUUACCCGUGGGCAAGACAGCAGCAGCUCCUGGGUGAAUAUUCAGGUUUACUGGCCAAGGUGCAAUAGUUGGGAUAGAUCCCGGACCAGAGGGUAUAGCAAUGUUCAUGGGAACCGGAGCAGCACGAAUGGAUGGUGAGGGAUUGAAUGGAGCUGCCGAAGCAGAUAAUUUUUUAUUUGGCAAUCCUCGAGUAUCAACUGAAGUUGCGAGCGAGGAUGCCUCCAAAUCAUCUACUCCUUGCAAAGUGGAGUUGGAAUCAUGCAAUUCAGAAUUGUCAGAUGGAUUGUUCUCAGAGAGUCCCUCCUUCACAGAAUCAAUGGAUUUUGGCAGUCCAUCUACUAAUUCUUUAUCCACGGCUGCUUCUUGAAACUUAACAGAACUGGACCCAAGUUCAUCCACGGUCCCGAAUAUCAAUGAAGUGUUAUCUUCCCUCCCUUCAGGUGAACUAAUAUCUUCUUUCUUCUCAGCAGGUCCAGUUUGCUCUCGUAAGGCAUCAAAUACAGGAUCCUUCUUUUCUUCGAGUGUAGUUUUGACAACCAGAUUGCUUUGGGAAUCUCCUUUGAUUUCAAUUAUUUCCUCUUCUUGUGUUUGGAUACCAUGCUCAUGGUUAUCUGGAAUGUCAUUCUGUGGGAAAACAGUUUGCAUUUUAGCAAUACUACCUGGUGGAGCCAAUGCUACUUCCUUGUAUGAAGGAGAUUUUCCAAGACUGACUAUAGAACUUUUUACUGCACCACCAUGCGGUGAAACAAUUGGACUUUCUGAUUUGGAACUCAAACUUUCUGCUGCAGUGACCUUAGUAGACGAAGGCACAGACUUGACUCUGUAUGCUACGGCUUUUACAAUUCUCCGUCCAAAUUUAGUACCUUGGGAGGGAUUUGCAAUCUGAUUUUCUGUAUAACUUGCAUGAGAUGUUGGCCUUUUCUUGAGAAGGUAAUACCUACUGUUUUGGUUAGUAUUCUUCACUGAAGGGUAAUCCGUGUCAGUAUCUACAUAUUUCUUCUGGUAACUAUAGACCUUCCCAAUAGCUGCCCGCCGCUGUUUUACACGCUGCCCAUAUGAACCCACUGAUCUAGGCCUUUGAACUGGUUGCCAGUCAUCUUCCCCUUCAACAUGUAUUUUGGAUGAGCUCAUAUUUGAACUUUCCUCAGGAAUCUCUUCCACAACAUGCUGGGGUUCAACUGAAGCAGAGAUGUUUUCUUGGAUGGGAUCUGUUCUUUCUAUUGGUUCAAGUGUAUGUGUUUCUUCGUCUGAAACAUCUUUUGUGGUUUCUUUUGAAGGGUCUUCAGAACUUGCUGAGGAGAUAGUUUGAUAGGAUUUUUCCUUCAACUGCACAGUAAAUUAAAAUAUCUUACUAAGGUAGAUUAUAAGUGCAGAUUUCAUCUUCUAUUGACCAUGUUGGUAACAAGAAACUGAUUGUAGUGUAUCCCAGACUCCAUUUGCAUUAAGGAUGUAUGUAAAAUUGGCAAACAAAACCAAACAUGAAAAUGGUCAGGGCUCCAGCAUACCUUUGUUAUGUAGGUUUUCCUCUUCAUUGCCACAUCUCUCCCUUUAGCAUCAUGAGUGGGGUUGAUGUAGUCAAGCAAAUCUGAUACACUGCCAAUUUGUGAAGACAAAAAAUUAAGACAUGUAUUCGUGAAAAAAAUUAAAAAGAAUUCAUUUCAAAAUAUGUGUUUGAUUAGAUAAGAUUCCAUUUUGGUGGUCAAUUAUUAGAUUCAAUCCAUGUAUUUGUCUCGUCAAUUAACAAUUUAGCUGGAUGGAUGGUGUGGAAAAGUAGAAAGUAGAUUAUAUGAACUUGAGUGAUUUAUCGAAGUUCUAUUAUAGCAGUUCUCGCUAACAAACCUUAAGUGGCCUUUGCUGGCUAUAGAUGCGUCUGGUUUUCGAGUCCCAUUUCUUGCAGCUUCCUGCUGUUCAAAAGCCUUGGAUUCAAAAUACUCAAGCCAGGCAGCAGCAUCCUGCAAGAUAUACUCAAAACUUUUAGUGUGUAAUUACAAAAACAAAAAAAAGACACUAUAGUCGGGAUGCCAAUCAACCAUUGGAGAAGACGAUACUUGAAUAAAAAUAAAUAAAAAGACAAAGAUUAGAUGAGAGAGAUACUUGUGUACGGAGAUCAUCUGGUCCAAGCUUUGCUCUCAGAAUUUGCAAUGUUGUCUGCUCAUGCUGAACACUUAAAGGGUAUGCUUCCAUCAAUGACAGUGCAAUUGCAAUAGCGUGGUAACUAGCCGCUGUCUGGAGAGAUUUAACUUUCAGAUGGUUUAUUGUCAAUAAAUGGGUAAAUAUAAAUAAAUAAUCUGGUCUUACAUCUACAAGCAGAUAUGGCAAAUUGGCCCAAUGUUUCACAAGUGGUUUACUUAUUCGCCUUAAAUCCCUCAUUCUUUUUCUAGUAACUUCCUAGUGAUCCAGAAUCUGACCUAUAAUAUUCUGCUAGUUAAAAGAGUUAUCCAACUGAACACAGUUAUAGUUAGAAGUAAUGACUUUACUACCACCCAAGUGGUUUACUUAUUACACCUUAAAUCCCUCAUUCUUUUUCUAGUAACUGCCUAGUGAUCCAGAAUCUGACCUAUAAUAUUCUGCUAGUUAAAAGAGUUAUCCAACUGAACAUGGUUAUAGUUAGAAGUAAUGACUUUACUACCACCUAAGAGAAAACUCCUAACAAUCAAGCUGUUUACAAUUAUUAUAACCGGCAUGAAAAUGCAAUGAGGAAUAAAGGAAAAGAAAAACCAAAGUCAAAGUUUUUAUAUACGAUUGAAAUGUUCAUUUGAAACGUCUUUCUAGCCCAUCUAAAACAAAAUAUUCCCAUAAUUUAUAUUCCCAUCCACAAAGCAAAACAAUGAAGACUCCAGGUUAUCACAACUACAUACAACUAGUCUUAUUCAGAAGUCACAUCUGGGUAUCGAAUAGAAGCUUUAAGAACAUAACACUAAUCAUCUGAAUAAACAAAAUUUUAGCUUAAGCUUAAAGCAUAUAUAAAAUAAAUAUCUAAAAGAAAAAGAAAAAGAAAACAUAAACAAACAAAAGGAAACCUGAAUAUGGUCUGGGCCAAGUAACUUCUGAUUACACUUCAAAGCCUUGUGUAAAUAUCUGAGGGCAACAUGUACAUUCCCCAAGCCUUCUUCCAUCAUAGCCACAUUGAUGUAUGUUGCGGCGGUAUUUGGAUGAGAUGGUCCACAUGUGAGAUGCAAGAGAUAUAGAGCACGUUUUACAUAUCUGAAUCAGAGAAGAGGAACAUUGUAAGCCUUUACUCACGGGGAAAAGUACAUCAAAAGCACAUAAUUAUUAGUGAAUAAACAUGCUAGGCACUAUGCAGAUAUGAGUUAUGACUAUUGUUUCUCUCCCUGUUAUAUUUUUCUUUGUAAUCUUAAUAAACUUUCGCAAAGUAAGCCAAAUCCGGUUAAUACUCAAAACUCAGCCGGACAGUUCCAUAUGUUGAAGGAAUUGUAAUUUCAAAGUCUAGUCAGAUAACCAUGAACGAAUUUAGAGUCCAACCAAUAUGCCACACAACAACAACCAGUUUAGACUUAUUGAAAGCAACCCAUCUAACAUGGUAUGCAUGCAUUAUGACAUUACAGCUAUAGCAGCUUCAGUUGUGUUCUUGAACCAAUAACAUUUAGACUUAUUGAAAGCAACCCAUCAGCAACCAAAAAAAAUAUUCCCCAGACCAUGUUAGGUUUGAGACAUUCUAUAUGAAGAGAAAACUUUAAACAAAUAAAAACCAUACUUGAGAGCCAACUCUGUAUGUUGAAGUCUGUAAUAAAACACAGCAAGGUCACCAUAACUCUUCAUGGUGUCUGGAUGGUCAAGCCCUAAUUCUCUCUCAUUGAUAUCCAGAGCUUUUUGCUGAUAAAUUGUAGCCUGUGAUUUUAUAACAAAAUAGUUGGUCAUCUAAGACAUCAGUAAGAGAAAGCGAAACAUGAUGUUAUUUCAUAUUACAAGCACAAGCAAUUCCUAUCAGCCUUUACAUUAAAACUAUGAAAGUAUAUCAUCCAAAUCCAAUCCCCCUAAAGAGUGUUGGUUAAGGAACAUAGAUUGAUCCAAAAAGAUAACAAUUUUGGUGUCAGACAUGUUCCAGAAAUACCAAAACAAAAGGGGUAGCAACAGACCUGAUUAAAAUCUCCAGUGUGAUACAAAACUACAGCAAGGAGGCUGUAAGCUCCUGCUGUCAUUCGAUGGUAUGGACCACAAACUGCUACCAGCUUUGCAAGAGCCUGCAAAUGCCAAAAAGAACAUAGAGAGUAUAGUCUGUCACCAACUAGAAUACUAAUACAUAAAUCAUGUAGGAACUGUUUAAGCACAACAUACCUUAGUGCCAUAUGCAACCGCAUCUUCUAGUUUUCCUUUAUCUAAGGCUGUUUUUGAUGACUCCAGUAGUUGCCUACCAUCUGCUGAAGAGCAUGCAGCUUGCUGUAAAGAUACAGAAGACACAUUAAAAUAAAAGAUGUACGCACUCAAAACUGAAAAUAAAAUAGAAAAGAAAACUAUGCAGUUAAUAUUUGAUGUCCGGUCAUCACCUUAUGUACUGGAACUAAGCUGACAAUAUCAGAACUUCGAAAUGGAUUUGGAGACUCCAUAUCGAAAUCACGUGGAACAAUCUCAAUUCCCACCUAAAAUCAGGAAAGAGAGAAGAAAAAGAAAAUGUCAGUUUUCUUCUUUUAGUAACAUAUGCAAACAUCUUGUUCUUGAUUACACAAUAAUGAUAUAUUUGUAUACAAGUAUCCCGAAAUUGAAUGUGACAUAAAGAAUAGGAAUCCCAAAGAAUAUUUGUAUAACUUAAGCCUCAUAUAAAAUAUUUUAGAAAUCACUGCAUUAGACGAGAAGGUAAGCCAAGAAGGAGAAUGCCUAAUGCAAAUACGUGAUAAGUAUGAGACUUAAAAAGUUACAGAGUGAAGACAUUUUUAAUGUAUGCAGGCCAUCUAGAUUCUAUUAUCCAUUGACUAUUGCUUUAUACCUUAUGACACAGUCCACGUAGAAUCGCAAAUCGCCUCACGUCAUUGUAGUUGAAGCUGCUAACAUCCCAUCCAUAUCUCUUCCGCAAGAAUACAUCCAGCCAUCUCCACACAAGGGAAUGUACGUUGCAAGACUUGUUGAAUUCUUCACUCUCUGGAGCCCCCAACAUAAGAUUCAAUGCAGCAGCAAUCGAGACAGCCAAUUUCUCAGUGUUAUUAACAGCAGCGAUCACUGCCUGAAGUAUAUGCUUAAAAGCUCGGACUAUCAUCUCAUGAAUACAAAGGGACUGCACAUGCGAUAGCUUCUCUGACAGCUUGACCUAUAAAGACAAUAAAAGGUGAUUGUCAUUCAUUAUCAAAACCACUAAGCAGCAUUCCACAUAUCAUCUAAACAUAUCAAAUUUUUAAAGAAUUCCAGUUUGGAGGUGAGAGGUAGUGAGCAGAUUUAAAAUUGCUUUAAAUUUUAAAAACAUUAGAAACUUGUUAGUCACCAAUCCAUAAUAAAAGGGGUAUUGAGCUAGCAUAUCUUCAAAAAACUAUCAUUCUCUUUGUUUUUCUUUUCAUUUAAUACAUGAAGCAAAGUAAUAUAACUAAAAGAACCACAAGAAGAAGUUCAAAAGGAAUGGAUCAUAUAUACACCCCAAGUUUAAGGACACCAGAAGAAGUCACUGGGGCAUAUAAACACUAUAAAGCAUGUAAAGUAGAAAACCAUAAGUUAGAAACAAACUUACAACUUGCCCCAAAGAACGCAUCUGAAGACCUCUAGUAUGCAUGAAAUCAGUCAAGGUUCGACCAUCAACUGGUGAAAGUUCCAACGAACCAAAAUCAGCUACCUGCAUUUUACGGAAAAAAACUCUAGAAACAUUAAUACCAUAUACUUACACACAAGGGGAGAAGAAAUAUCAAUCAAGUAAUAAUUUCUUAUUACCAGUUUUGGAAGAGCAACUUCAGAGUAAUACUUCUGAGAUAAGUCGAUCAGUUCUUGCAGAGACUGUCAAGCACAAGUUUACUUUUAUACACGCAACAAGAAAAAUGUAUUAAAUAAAUAAAUAAAUGCGGUACGGCCUCUAGUGACGGCUAAAAUGUUUUACCUUGCAAUGCAGUCCAGUUUCUGAUUCUUUUAGUCGAGCAAAGGCUGCAUCAGACAGCAUCUCUGUCAGCACAAGCUCAUUUUCCUUAGCACUGGUUUCAUACUUUGAGUCCACAGAACCUAUAGCAUUUUCUACUUCCCCCACAACACCAUCUGCAUGCGACUUUGAGCUAUCAGACUGGCCUUUGGUAUUGGCUCCCUCUGAUUUCUUCUUUGUGUUCUUAAGGGAUCUAAGAGGUGUCCCAAGUCCCUCGACCUUCAUCUCAUUCUUAGCCUUCUCACCUGAUGGUUUCUUAUCCUUGUCUGUAUUUUUCUGGUCUUGCAAGUGUUGUAUCCAGCAAGCUCCUAGUUCCCAUCUCACAAAACUAUCAGAAUCUAGCUCCUCUUUGUCAAGCUUAGCAAGACUUUCUUCUAACAGUUUCUCAACAAAAGCGCAGGAAGCAGAAAGCUCUUCAUGUUCCAGACCUUGCCCAUGUAAUGCGAGUUUAUUCUGCUCCGAAGGUGUAGUUGUGUGAAGUAGCAAUCUCAAACUGCAAGGAUCAAGGCACUAGUUAGGCUCAUUUGACAAAACUUCAUGGCACAUGGUUGAUAGCUUUAGAAAAUCACACAUUUAUGUACCUGUUGAUAUUAAGGGCAUUGGCACCACCUUCAGGUUGAUCAAGGAGGUCAAUGGUUUGUGAUGGAGAACUGAUUUUCUUGGUUUCUUUCCCCUCAACUUUCACAACUGCAAUGUAACCACAGUAUCGGACAUUCACAACACCUAGAGUGGUGACAUCCUGCACAUAUGUUGAUCAAGAAUUAUCAUAAAAAUGAACCAAGCUAACAAAAAGAAAAAUGGAAAAGGAAUCUCAUAAUGUAGAUAAAGUAAGACUGAUCGACAACACUGUUCAGACAACAACUCACAUGUGCAGCGGUGUUCUCGUCAGCAGUGAUCCCUUUCAGAAGGUUUCGCUGCGCUAGAUUCUUUUUAUCCACUCCAGUCGCCUGAAUUCCAUCAAUCUUAGUAUCAACCUUACAGCUUGCAUUGUUAACAUCCUUUGUUACAGUCACAUUCAGGUCCCCUACUCUCUCAGUAUAAAGAACAUCACUGCUUGCAGCAGAACAAGUCAAAUCCGGUUUUGCCAUCACAUGCUGCACAGCUUUAAUGGCUCUAAAAAUGGAAACGUCGACAAAUAGGCUGUGAAGAAGGAAUGCCUUCCUAUCUCGAACCUGCCUGUCCUCCGCCGUCUUGCAAGGCAUUGAUGCAAUAUACCAAAACUCAUUAGCCCAAGGAAUCAGAUCAAAUUUCCCGUCUCUUCCUAGACCCCCUCCAUUUCCUCCCCAAGCUUCAUCCUCCACAGGGAGAGCAGGGAAACCUGAAGGUGACUGACCUGCAACUGGCGGUACAAGCCAUGUGUUUGCUCGAAAGCCAUAGGGAAGAUUCCCAAACUGAAAACAACCAGAGAAACCUAAUUAAUCACAAAAACACACAACGAACUCUCACAACACAAAAUAAAACACAACAAUAGCGUACCUUAUUACGUUCCGAAAAUGCUUUCAUCAGAUCAUCAUAAGCCUAAAAACAAGACAAACACACACAUAAUCACUACGCAGUUGCAAAGCUGACAAGCAUUUCAAUUGAACAUUACGAAUUCAAAACUAGGCGGAACUAACAUUGUCGAAAGCUCUACUCAGCUGCCGUAGCAAAUCGACGAGGUUGUGACACAGAAUGCGCUGCUUCCCUACACUAUAGAAUCCCUUCCUGCAAGCUUCAACCAGAACCACCUUCCCAUUGCAAAGCUUCACCUGACAUUUCCACCAAAUCACAUCAAUUCCAACCUUCAAAAUUCCAACCUAAAAAGAAAAAUCAAAUUCUCAAUUGCAAAUAAUGACCUUGAAGACUUACUUCAAGAGAAUACAGGUGAUCUUCUGCCGAAAUCUCAUCGACAUGUCGUUUCGUCACCCUUCUGAUAACUGCGGCAUUCACCGGCGUAAGCAAAAUUACAAUACUGUCCCUCAGUCUGACAAUAGAGAGAGAGAGAGAUAUAUAUAUAUAUAUAUAUAUAUAUAUAUAUACUUACAUUGCAGAGGGGGGAGUGAGAUGAGCGAGAGAGAAGAAGUCGUAGAAAGAGCCGAGCUUGAGGCAAGAGUGGCUCAGCUCGGCGUCCGAGUCCACCGCCACGUCACGCUUAUCGGCUCCGGCAGAGACUUGAGGCUUGACCGCGGCGGCGGAUUUCUUGGCGGCCUUAUCCGGAGCAUUUUUACCGGAGACGACUGCGGGAGAGGCGUCGGGCUUGAGGCUUUGAUCCUUCGCCGGCGGAGGUGACGCGCCGAAGCUCGUCGUGCAGGCGACGAUGUCCAGCACGCGGCGCACGUGCGCGGUGGCGCGCUCUUCAUCAUAGUCCUCUACAAAAAAAUUAAACAGUGAGAAAUGUUGAAGGAAGAAGACAGAAGAAACGCCGCCGUUUUGGCGAGUUAGUUUUGAGGAUCAAAACGACGUCGGAUUUGAGCAGACUAUUUACCUUCGACCAAAGUGAUGACGCAGGGCUUGAGUGCGGAGACGUCCACCGUAUCUUUUAAACGUUUCCCUCUUACCUGCAAUGAACGACAACGUGUUAAUGGUCGUUUUGACUUUAAUUUUUUUGGUCAAGAUAAGGUCAUAGAAAACGUGACGUUUGCUUUUAUUCUGCUAACCGUUGAGCCACAUGUCACGAGGCGUAUUAAAACGGCCAAAAACAUAAUUUAAGAUGAGCAUGAUUUCGAAUGGUAUACUGGCCGGAGGGGAUGCAAAUAAAAUCUUGAAUCAGACAGUCAAACUAUUAGGUAAUAAGUAUUUGAUCGGUUAAUCAUGUGUUUGACACGUUAAAAAUGAUACGAUAUAACAAGGAGUUUUAUUUUUUUUUUUCAUUAUGAUUGGUGAGUCAGACGACUUUAAUGUUUAUAUUCUCGCCCACGACUUCUUGUACACCUACCUUGAAUACUCCCAAAUGAAAAUUGAAGAAAAUAAUGACAAUGUGGGUUGUGGAAACUACCUCAUGGGAUAGUGAAAAAUUGGUGAUGUUACAAGUUUCGGUAUUCACUGAUAAUAGUUGGCGGACGUCAAUGAUCUUGUCCGUCGAUAUUCCCUGCUAAAAACCCAAGAGUUAGUCCACCUAUAUGCUCAAAAAUCAGAAGCAUCAACCAAGAAGAGAUGAGGAGUAGUAGUAGAUAUAGUCUAAUCCCAUAAAACACAAAGUUUUGUCCUUGAGAAUCAGAAUAUGACACUAAAUUUGCUCAUGUAAACCUUGUCAUAAGCAAAGAACAUUAAGGACAAGAAAAGCACAUUUCAUAUAGUGCUUUGCAAGAGGCAUUUCUAGCUUCUAUUAUGGAAGUUGGUGGUGUCUAGUUUGGACUUUGGAGAUAACAACAUGAACCAAAGUACCAAACCUACCAAAAGAACUAGUUUUGACAUAUAUGGAGUAUAUGCUAUAUUUGGCCAUAGUAUAUAUAAUCAAUCAAACGUCAUGUAACCCAACUCAACCAUGUUACCAGAAGCUGGCCAGCAAAAAAUUAUUGCCCAUGUGAAAACAAGAACAAAAACAAAAACAAAUAAUAUGCUUAAUUAACACUAAUUUUAUAUCAAUUACCUUCAAAACAACACUACUUUCAUCCGGAAGGUUCACGGUGAUGUCCAUCACAACAGGAAGAACUGCAAAAGUAAUCAAAAAAAAUUAGCAACUUAAUUAGUUUAAUUCAAACUUGGUGUUAAAAUAACAAUACGAGCAAAAAAUAGUUGAUACCCUUCUCUUCCUUCUUCUUCUUCUCUCCACCUUUGCCCUUUCCACGACUGUUUCUGGGUGCCAUUUUCAGCUUUCUUGUAUGAAAUGAGCUUAAGCUUGAAGAUGCUUAAUUACACUCCCAAAUAGCUAUCUGAAACUGUUUUAGUAUAACCAAUCUUAAUUAGCAAUAAUACACAGUACCCCAAGGAGAAAGAUAAGGUAUUAGAGCAGAAGCCAAAUUGAAGAAAGUGCUUCUACUUUAAGCAAAAGUUCAGUAGGAUAAUAGUCAUAAACCCCAGUACCAAGUACCAACCACACACUAGUAAUCCAUAUACCCUCAAAAUAAAAAGAGCUGAAUUGAAGAGGAAAUGGAAAAGAGAGCAGUAAACAUGGCAGAGGCCACAGAGCCUCUGAAAAUGGAAACGGUAAUGAUUACCUAAGUGUCUGGAAACUACUGCAAGAUAGAAAAGAGCAAGUCUUUAUUGCACUGUCUGAAUGAGUUGAAAGAUAUAAGAAGCAGAGAGCAAUAAAUAGGUAGAUAUGAGGUGUCGAGCUACUGAGCUGCACCAACCAUAUAGAAAACCAUAGCUUAUUAUGGAGAAGGAUAUGAAUGAAGGUGAAGGACUCUCUAGCUAGCUAGGUUUCUAAGAGUUGUGUGAGCUUCAGAGAGUUUGGAUAAUGGAGAAGCUAGAGGCAAUAUAACAAUGAAGAGGGAAGAAGGGCAAGAUUAGAAGGAAGAGAUAUAGAGGGAGAGAUGGGUGUGAUAAGGAAGGAAGGGUUGAGAUUUAACAGUCAGAAGCACAGAUUUGGCCUUUUAUGCCAGUUUUUCUCUGGCUUAUACAGAGUAAUUAUCAUUCUGCUUUGAGAAAGAGAGAGUGGGGAGGGGAGGAUGCAAUUUUAUUUUCCCCUCUAAAUUUUCCAUGGAUUUUAAUCAGAAUAAUUUUGGUUUUCUGAUAAUGGAAAAGGAGGGUUUGGCAAAUCUUUGGCUCCUUCUGCUUGCACUAUGGUAUGAAAGAAAAAACUUGUGGGCCCCACUGACUGUUGGGGUCCCACUUUGGACAUGGGAUGGUAUCAUUUUAAGACUGCAAAUUUUACCAGAUGAAGAGAUAAACUUAUUAACUGCAUAUCUACUGGCGGAAUGGUUGAGGUUUUGAGAAGCUCAGAAAAGCUGUGAUGAGUUUCCUUAUGCAGGAGGCACUGGACUGACCCAGAAGCAUUAACUGGUUCUUCUAGCUCUGAGAACUCUGAGACUACCCAGAAACCCAUGGUUAUUUUACAUCAUUCUAGUAAUAGUACACUGUCUGUGUUUGCUCCAAGGAAAAUGAAAAAGGUGGUGAUGAUGGGGGGCUCGAUGAUGGGACUCAGAAGAGAAGGAGAAGAAAUAGUACACUGGCUUGAGUCAUUCUUUCACAGUUUCACUGAUAGACUGAUAUCCAACUCCAGCUAGGUUCCAAAAGACGGUGCUUAUAUCGAAGUUUAUUCUAGCCAAGCAAACUAAGGAUUGCUCACCGAACCAAAAAAAAAAAAAAGGAUUGCUUACCAGAUGUGAAUGGGAGAUGGGACUCAGAUUUUGGGGUAUUUGGUUAACAUUGGAAGGAGCAAGUUACAUUUUGAAGGUCUUUGUUGACAUCUAGGGCAUAUUGAUGGCAAUAGUCAAAAAUAAGCUCUGGGAUUUCAGGGGCCAGUGAGUUCUGACCAAUUAGUGACUCCUUUGGUCUUUACAUAGAUGCAUGAUUUGGUUCCUUUCUAAGGUAGGGCACUCUUACAAUGUUGGUGUCUGGCUUUUCAUUUUGGAAUCACUUGAAGUUUUGUGCAAUUUUACAGUUUAAUAGUUUAUUCAUUUGUGCUUCAGACAAUGUGGUCGAGGGUAUCUUUCACUGCCUAUAUAUACACACACUGUUACAUUGAUAUGUAGUGUUAGACAGAUUCAAGUCACACACUGUUACAUUGAUUUGGUUCCUUUUAAUUUGAUAUUGCAUUUGUCAAAAUUUGAAAUAAAUGACUUGCAAACUUGAAUUCGCUAUACAGUUCGGUUUACCAUACAGUGCGCGAUCAGCCAAAUAUGAACUCAACUAAACCGUUAACGCCCUAGAUGCAUUUACCAACUUCGACCAUAUAUAUGGUUGGUUCCUUCCUUACCAACUUAGGGAAUUAGCCAAAUCAAUUUUACCUUACUAUUUUUUUGUUCUUUCGAUGAAAAUUUUACCUUACUCUUUGAAGCUUAUGUUUCCCACAUGUUCAUAUAAAUAAAACAAAAUUAAAAAAAAACACACUAUACUGGCAAAUUGAAUUUAUACACAUAUUUGUUUCAGAGUAUUGCAAUUUGCAGAUCCAGAUUUGUAUGAAUGUACAACUAGUCGUGUAGCGUGUGGAUAGAUAAACCACCACUCCACCAGCAUACAUAAUACAUUGUCUCCGAGAAUGAUGUUUUUGUACAUUUCUUCUCAGACAUUUUCAUCUUUUGAAGUCCAUAUAUAGCAGUCUUGAAUUUUCAUCAUACUCAUCUCAUGCAAUUCACCGCAAGACAAGACUAAGAAUAUGUAAACCAGGGUAAAAUAUUAUCAUUGGUAAGCAUUUGAUAGAUAUCGAAAUCGUGUGACUAGGCUCUCGCCUAUCACUCUCUUGAAGCCUGCUCGAAUGUUUUUCGAUGCUCGAGAGUAUUGAAACUUCACAUGUAGUAGUCAUUUUGACAAAAUAACAUAAUUAUUUAUAUAUAUUUAAGAAAUAUUUCGGAAAACCAUAAAUCUAAUAAGAUUCACAAAUUUCAUUUUCAUUAGAAAGAGAAAUUAGAGAUGAACACAUACUUCAGCAUAUAAAACAAAUAGGUUAGUGACCCACAUAUAUGAAAAACAAUAGUUGUGUACUUAGUUGUUGCAUUACCUGACACGCCAGCUCCAAAUUUUUUGUUCAAGCGUGAUUCUCUUCAUUUAUUUUUUUCAUGGUUCUUGAUUUUCCAGCAAAAUUCUGUAUCAUCAAAUAUUGUAAACCAAUUACCCAACUUUCUCGAUUAUUCGGGUUCAUAUGAAUCACUUACGUGGUAGCAGACCAUAAGAAUGUAAGUUUACAUAUAUUGUGUUAAAAGAUAACUCGACUUGAUAUAUUAUGUCCCUCAUUGUAUUUUACGAUUUUGUUAAUGGUUAAAGUUUAAACGGUAGCCCCUAUUUAAAAAAAAAAAAAAAAGUUGGAUAUGUGUGUUUUCAUUUAGUCACAUCUUCUUCUCUUCAAAUAGGCUCGAUCUACUAGAUUGAUUAUGUAUUUAGUCUAAUUCAAGAUGUAGGACUUCGGAAUGAUGUUGUAAGCUCAAUUGGAUGGUGUAGGAUCGUGUAAAAGUAUGUGAAACAUGCAAAUACAAGUAAUAAAAGUCAGCUAACACAAUUACACAAAGUCGCUAAAAACCCAUGAAACCUAGAACAAGAGAAGAGUCGACUUCUAGACUACUCGAUCCAUAUGUGCUUCCAAUAUCACGAGCUCACGCAAGUUCAUUUACCUUAAUCAUAUUAUAGCAAUCACUUCUACCGUAAAUAGAACUAGUGACAUCAAGACUAGUAGAAAGAGCUCUAAGAAAGUAUCACAUUCUAUCCCUAAAACCAGUUUCAUAACCUCCCCCUCCAUCGAGCUUCCAAGCUCUCCGGCCACUCUAGGAGCACAAACGAGACCCAUAACAUUUCAAAUUGUGAAGAUCUUGAAUGGUAUUGUGCAUCGUACUCGUUGUCAACCAGCUAGCUAGUUACUUUAGAUAUGACCAAAAAUACGUCUGCAAAUAAUAACUGAAAACUCUACUCUCGUAUCCAUAUACUUUUGUGUUAGACGGAAGAAGAAUCAAGAUCUUAAAUAAACACACAAUAUCCAUAUAUCACAUCGUGGAUGUGAUCAUGUAUACAUAUAUCACACCUAUAAUUCUACAUGUUUCUUUAGUUGAAAGAAAGAAGAAAACAGAAUUUACUUGUAUAUGCUUUAAUCCUGUUUCCAUUUCAAUGAUUCAACCUAAGUGGAAAUGAUGAUGCAUGCAUGUAUGUAAGAUGUAGCAACUAACUAGAUAAAGGAAAAAAAGAAUUUAAAACAUAUUAGGUCAACUUAGUGGCCACUACUAGCAGAGGUUCUAGGGUUUAGCCACUUGAACACGAUUAGUGGGGCGGUACUAGAUUGUGUACGCACUAAUCUUAUGAAAUUAGGAAAAAGGACACACGGUUUAGAGCUUUAGAUUAUAGUUGAAGUUCUUUUCUAAGGCAUUUGUGACUUGUCAACUAAAUUGUUUAUAUCUGAAACGUGUUUUCGCUAUCACAGAGCAAAAGGAGCUGUGUUUAUAGGUGGGAAUGUCUUUUAAUGUUUUUUCUCUUUUGGAUUUAUAGGAAUGGAGAUGAGAGAUUGGUGGAGACAAGCCCAUGAGAGAAGAGGGUAGGGUUCUGAUGGAAGAAACCAAUGGAGUGUCGCAAACGGUAGGGUUUAAGCCAACCAGGGAGUCAAGGAUGCUAAAAUGUGGGAGUGGAAUUUUCAUGAUUCUGAUUGGAACCAAACACACUCAGUUUUGUAGUGAGCUUUAUGAACCAACAAGUAAUGCCUAGCCUAUUUCUCCAAGAGAUAGAGUUGAAAUAAGCAUCCCAUUUUUGUGAGGUUUUUUCUUUGUUUUGUUGAGGAAAAACCAUAGCUGAAUAAUUGGAUCAAAAUUGAAAUGAUUAACUGCCAACAAAAUAGAAGUAACAAAAGAAUGUAGAACUGUAGAACUGAUAAACAGGUUCUUUACUCAAGCUGAUAUUGAAACUGGUUUUGGAUAUACCUUCAAGUAGGAAUGCUACGGUGGAUAGGCAAGUUUGGCACUUCAAUAAGAAAGGUGUCGACACCACAGUGCCAAAUAUAUUGCUCUUGGUAUGGUAUUGGCAACUCCGCGGCUCCACCCGUCCGCCGCCUGCAAACCCACUUUAAGUGGCAUAGGAAAGCUAUCUAGAAAGCAAAGGUGCCAGGUAAAGUUGCGCCACAAUGUGGAGAACACUGUCCAGUAUUUUGCCAACGCGGUUCAGUUUGAGUACUUAAAGCUAAGAUUUAGGCUGUGUCUUCUGUGAUCAUGACAGUGAGAAUAGCUUUCAUUCGUUUGUGCAAUGUUCCGUAUGCGCAAGAAGUAUGUCACAAGGCCAGUUUUCAAUGGCAGCAGGCUAGCAUGCUCACUAUGCAAAAUUGGUUUGAUGACAUCGUAAUCAAGCUUCAAGCGAAGCGCUGAACCAAGUGAUGAUGUUGAUCUGAGGUAUAUGGAAAAAUAGAAACUCCAGGUUCUGGGAGGAUUAAUCGAAACAUGCAUCUGAAAUUGCAUUGGCUGCUACUGGCUGGUAUAUGAGGUGAAAUUGCAUUGGUUACUACUGGCUAGUAUAUGAGGAUUUUAAGGAGUACAAUGCAAAGCCACCGAAACACAAGGCAGAAGGUAACUUUGAGGGUGGCUUUAUAGCUGCUACAAGACGUGGAUGAAAUGGCUGUGUUGCUCGGAACCAUGAAGGAAGCUUUUUAGCUGGGUUAGCACGUCCACAGCCUUUGAUAGCAACUCCUGGAGUACAAUUGGCAAUACGCAUGGGAUACCAGCUGGUGUGUUAAAAACUGAUUGUUAUUCUACUCAAAGCUAUGCAAGAGGAUACUCCGGAUCUGUCUACUACAAAUGCCAUGAUACAGGAGAAUAAGGACAUCCUGCAAAAUCAUGCUAGUUAUCAAGUUACUCAUAUUCACCAGGAAGCAAAUGAAUUAGCUCAGUCAGUAGCUUAUUAUGCCUUAAGAAACAAUGAUAGCCAAAAUUGGUUUGUCAUCGCUACUGAAUUUAUAAGGGAUGCCAUUUGAAACUCGUAAACUAAUUCAAUGAAAUCUACUUUCAAGAAAAGAAAAAAAGAAUGUAGAAUAUACCACAAAGACAAUGAUGUAUAAUGUAUCUCUACUGCCCUCUUUCUUGCUUGUCGCUAUAUGUUCAGUCACUAACAACAAUCUUCUGAGAAUUAUUUUCACAAUAGUAUAGAAGUUGAGAAGCUUCAUUCCUCUGAAACCUUGAAAAAGGUAUAGGAUAAAAUUAUGUUAUUGAUACCAUCCAUUCUUGGAUCUGUUUCAAACUCAGGGUCGAUAUAAAAGAAGACAGGCAUAUCAAUCUGCUCCCCAGGAAGGAGGCGUUGCUCCUCAAAGCAAAAGCACUGUAUUUUAUUGAAGUAUACUGCAGCCUUCAUUGGGGUAACAUUAUAUGUAGAGACACCAACUAUUGGAGUUGAACUACGAUUCUCAGCCGUAUAAAAAGCAAGUGCACUUUCACCAGGUUUGACCCUUACCUCUCUUUGUGUAGGAGUAAACUUCCAUUGCAUUCCAUCAGCCACAUCAGCAUUGAAUUGCACCACAAUCUCUCUUUUGGUGACUGUGCCAUCCUUAGCAUGUCGAGCAAUCUUCUGUUCAACACUCUCACGGCGUUGGAUUGUGCCACCAUACCCAGUAGCUUGGCAAAAUCUUCUGUACAGAGGAACUGCGGCGUAACUGGCUGCAACCAUUGCAAAAACCAAACCCGUAAGGUACACUAGCGUCUUGCGUGAUUUCUCUUGUGUGGCAGCCUGAGUAGAAUAGAGUCGCUGGAUUCUCAAAAGAGAUUGAGCAGCAAAGGGCUGAUGCUGACUACACUUAUCAAAUGAGCCUAACUUGGGACGCCACAUACUAUAAUGGCCAAAAUGCCUCUGACAUAAAGUAUUACCGCCAUUUAAAUUAUAACUGGGUACGCAUCUGGACUCAAGAGGUAAAUGCAGUGCGCUCUUGAACAAGGGAACGGCUCUUCUACAAACCCGUGAUAAUGACAUGUUUGAAGAGAGCAGAUGUUACUUCACAUACAAUACCAGCAGCAUACCUGCAACCACCCAAGAAGCAGUAAGAAAACCAUAAUCUGAUAGUCGGUAAAGAAAGCACUUUGAACUAAACAAGAAUUGAUAAUUUCAUGAACCAACCAAAAGAAUCCUUAAAUACCAUCCAAGCUGAGGUUGGAUACUACUAAAAAAGCCCAAAUUUAAAUGCUUGCCAGCAACCUAUGUAUUUCCUGGUUAUAAUUAAGAAACACACACACACACACACAUUUCCUGGUUAUAAUUAAGAAAGUUUCGCUAUUGUUUGGUUUUGACUAUAAAUUUCAUUUCUUUUUAGUUGCGAAUGACAAUGCUUAAACCCAUGGCUCGUCCUAUAGAAACACACACAUUUCCUGGUUAUAAUUAAGAAAGUUUCGCUAUUGUUUGGUUUUGACNNNNNNNNNNNNNNNNNNNNAGCCAUGGGUUUAAGCAUUGUCAUUCGCAACUAAAAAGAAAUGAAAUUUAUAGUCAAAACCAAACAUUAGCGAAACUUUGAUGUUUAUACAGCCUAUGCCUAAUUAAAAAUUCCUGAUGUGAUGUCAUUACAAGCUUUAUUUGUCAAACUCCCACAGUUAGCGAUACUUUGAUGUUUAUACAGCCUAUGCCUAAUUAAAAAUUCCUAAUGUGAUGUCAUUACAAGCCUUAUUUGUCAAAUUCCCACAGUGCUCCCCCAUCCUCUCUAACUUUCUAGUUGAUCCACAUCUCCACCAGCAUUCCCAUACCAAUUCCACCAGCAAUACAGACUCCUGAAAAGUUAAUAUUAUAGGGCAGAGAUGUACAAGGAAGAAAAUAGAAUUCUGGAAACUGCCUGAUCUUUUUGGGAAGACGCUUCUUUAUACCCAGUUAUCACCAGGGUUCAUCUGCAUAUAACUACCAACAGCUUUCCAAUCCACCCCUUUGAAAGGGUCUAUGGUUUCUUCAGUGCACAUGACUCUAAGAAGUCCACUUUAGAGCUUGCGGAAUUUGAAGCUACAUGCUUAAAAAUGAAUUCUACCCGAUGAAACAAUGAACAAAGUUUAAAUAGAUAAUUAUUGAAUAUAUUCAUUUUUUAGUUCAGACAAGUCAAUCAAAGAUUAUUUGUGGCUACCAAAGCCACUGAUGGAGUUACUAAGAGAGAAUACAUGUGCCAGGAGACAGGUAACACGGUUUAAGCAAAAAGUAUACACAGUGCUGUUUAAUACUGGCAAUUAGCAAUCUAUGCUUCGGAAACUUGAACAACCCCAACCAACUGACAGGGAGUUCACCAUAAGAAGCAACCAACAAAGUUAACAAUGUCUAACAACUAAAAAUCUUAUCUCCUUAAGUACUAAAGCAUUACACUCUAGGUACAACUAUCUCCUUGAGUGAUUUAGUUCAAACUAAAAAUAUCUUUCGUAUGACAUGCUUUAGCACAAAUGAAGCUGUGAACUGGAACGCGUGGGCAUUAACAGUUCAGGGCUUCAUAAAUACAAUCUUCCUUGCACACAAACAAACAAAAGAAUGGCCACACACAUCAAACAAACAGAUAUAGAAAAAAACCAAAAAUAAAAACUCAAGGUGCAAUGCCAAACAUCCUGUAUCGCUCAUAAAACCAAAUUGCUGGUGUCUAAAGUAUAGUAAAACCAUAGAGCACUGGUAUAUCAAUACCCACUACCAAGUGACCAAAACGACAGGAACUAAGCAAAAUGCAAUAUAAAUUCAAGGUUCAGUGUUGAGUAAUCAAACAAUAUUGCCUCCUUUAGUUAGCUCAUACAACGGUUAAUUCUCUCAACUAUGACAACAAAGCAAAAUCUGAACUUAGAUUCCCUUUUCAAUAAAACCAGCUACGAAUCUAAAUGUAUUCAUAGCUGACUACUAACUAACUAGCUACGUAACCAACAUUCACUCAAACGUUUCUCAUCCUUCGUACACUUCUAGGCCACACGCUUUCGCAACACCAAAACGUAUUGUUAACUACCCAAUCCACUUCUACAAACAACAACUACGCACAACCUACAUCAAUAAACAAAAGCACAAACAAUAACUCUAUCGAAAUCAUGGGGAUGGAUCAGCACAAAGAUUUUCGAUCAAUGCAAGAAACUGUGACGGCAGGAGAGACAGUGCAUCAAUUAAGCUGCACCGCAAAAAAUGUUGGGAGCAGUCUAGAUUGACAUUCAAUAUUAGAAUGCAACCCACGCCUUUUCAUACGACCCAUUUCCACCGGAGGGCUCAAACCCACCGGGCGGUUUUUUUCGUUUGAUUUAGAAGAGGUUGCGAAAGUCACAGUGCUAAAGCUUUAACAAGAACUAGGGCCCUCUUCAAGUUUCAAAUGCCAUACACACAGUUUCUUGCUCAAACCUUUUACUAUUUCAACAUCAUAUCCAUCAAACCCAUGAGACUUUAACAAGUAUGGGGAAAGAUUAUGGAUUUGGGAAGAAGGAAUUGGAGUACCUGGUGAAGAUGAGAGCUUCGAAUCUGGGGCAGCAGAGAGUACCGGAGGUUGAGGAGAGUGGUGGGUUGGGAUAUAUAGGGCGGCUCUAUGAUCGAAACGACUGCGUUUUAGUCUUGUUGACCUAGGUUGGUCUUGAAGCACAAACAAAAAAAAUGUACGGCCCAAAACCCCUGAAUUUGAUAGCUGGAUUAGUUCUUUUCUUUUUUUUUUUUGGUCAGUUCUUUUCUCUUUUUUUUGAUCAAAUAGCUGGAUUAAUUUUGGAGAUUUUUAUUAUUAUUACAUUUUGCUAUGACACGUCACAUGUGUGAAAUUGAGUUUGUGCAUGAACAGGGGCGGAAUCAGAAUUUGUAUAUAAGGGCUCUGAGACAACACUAAAAAUAUAACGAAACAAAACCAAAAAUUUUCCCAAAUUUUUCUUUACACUGCGACUAUAGCAAACAAAAUUUAGGCAAGUCGGGUCCUUAACUCGAAGAAAUCGCAAAUUCUUCUUUACACUGCAUGUACUUGAUAUCGCAUGCACCUCCUACUCGAAGUCUAUAACCACGAUUCACGAGACUAAUAAAUGCGCGUCAUACUUAUUUCAGCUAAGUUAGGAAUUACAUAUACUUUCUUUGUCUCAUUGAACAACUCAUCGUAAGAGGUUUGCGGAAAAUACUACACUAGAGAACAACUAAAAAAUAAAAAUAGGUGGAGAAUGCAAGCUUCUAAUUUUCAACUACAUGACAUCUCAACUAUGCAAGAGAGAUUUUUCUAAAAAAAUAAUAAUAAUAAAAAAAACUAUGCAAGAGAGACAAGUAAGAUAACAAUCUCUGCUAGGUUCGAUUCAAUGCAGAGGCUUGCUUGUCCAAAUAAAAGUGUCCAAUCUUUGCUAGGCAAAACAUCACUCCUCUUCAAAAAUAUUCUGAUAGGGGAAGCUCUCAUUUCUCUCUCUCCCUUCCCCUACCCUUUUUUGUGGUAGCCUUUUCUCUACCCUCUUUGGUGGUAGCCCUCUUCUGCUCUGAUGACCGUGGCAGGUCUUUUUCUGUUUUCCUUUCUUUUGCUCUCCCCUUCUCCUGUAUUUCCCUUUGGUUUUCUUCCUUUUCCUCAUCAUCGAUGACCAUAUCAUCCUAAUCUUUCGAUCUCAGUUUUACCUCUCCCUAUCUUUCUCUCCUUUAUCAAUUCUCAGAUUCUUCACUCUUCAGGUGCACAUCUUCUUCACCAAUCAGUAUUCUCAAUGAAAGUUCACCGUUUCAGUUCUCUGUAUUCGGUGUCGUAUCGUAUAUCAUACAAAAGCACGUUUGCGAUUCCGAGCUGCCUUUCUCGUUUCCUCUUUAUUUUUUCUCUUUCUUUUGGUUACCAAUCUGUCUGGCAAUUCUUUGUCAGGUGUUAUAUUGAUGGUGCACAAUGAUGUUAUGUAUGGUUCUAAGUUUUGGAAAUCUCAGUUUGAGUGGGUUAUGGUUUGUUCAUAUCUCUUGGUUGCAAAUUCAUGAUGUCUCUGUGUCAUGAAAUGGAUCGGUUUGUGAUGGUUUCGGCACAAGCUUUUUCCUUCUCCAUGUCAUUAAUUGAUCUGAAACUGCUGUGGUGUUCUCACGUUAGGUUGAUUUCGGCGUUCUCCAGGAUUUCGGCAAAUUGGGUGCUGUCUCUGUGGCACCUAGAGGUUUGACGAGUGGCAGUGGCUGUAUUGACACGUGUUCUCUUUUCCUGUCUUGGAUGGUUUGCCUCCUAGUUGGAUAAUGAUAAUUUGUUUACUGUGGAGUUCAUCUUGUUUGGUUUGGUCUUUAUCUUGUUUGAUUUUUGUUUCACCCAGUUCAUGGGUUUUGUAAUUAUGCUUGUAUAGCUUUUAUUAUUCAAUAAAACUUAGACUUCCACUGUAAAAAAAAAAAAAAAUUUAAAAAACCUUUGGUAGGCAACAACCGACUACCUUUAUUCAAUGACUCACCAUUUUUUUUUUAGAAGAAUGACUCACCAGUAUUGUGAUCAUGUUUAUGUAACUAUAUUUUAUUUCCGUUCUGACAUCUUUCAUAUAAAUUCGACGCAUGAAGUCUUAUUUAAUUGUGAAUACACCUUUUUCCUUUUCAGUUUUGAAAGUUUUGACAUGAUUGAUAGAGCUGCAAAAAGAAACAAUAGUGUUUUGUUAUUUGAAUGAAUGUGGCUGAAUAAAAUGGUUUUUCGUAGCUAUCAAAUGGUUGUUUGGAGCUGUUGUGGCUAGGAGUAUACAUAGAGAAGAGUUUUUGGUGAUCUUAGUAUGAUGUGACUUGAGUUUCCAUUGGCUAAUAGUGUAGUCUUAGUUGUUUUGGAGGAAAGCAGAGGGCGGUCUAUGGGUGGUGGGAGGACAUGGGUGGUAUGUAGGCGGAGGAAUUGGGCGGGGUGGAGGGCCUUGCAGUUUGUAGGUUUCGAGCCAUACUAGCUCUGAUACCAAUUGUUGAGAUGAUGUUUCUAGAAAGGAAAAUCUACUCUAAAAAAAGAUAAUACUAAAGUCUGAAUUCAUUCCAUAACCAUCUCAAGUGAGAUUACAGACUUUUAUGCUUCAUCUCCUACAAACAGGAAAGAACUUCCUACAUAACUUCCUACUACUUAGGUUGUAAGGCCACUUAAUCCAACGUACUAAUAUUGGGCUUGGCCCUUACAAAUGAAGUUUACAUAUAUAAAAGAAAUAUGACUAAUUUUAAUUUACGUCCACCAAUUUUAGGUAGAUCAUCAUGUUAGUCCAUUUUCUUUUAAUUUCAUCAAAACACCUCUUGACUUUUAAUUUUCAUCAGCCGUGACCAAAUAUCCGUUUUUCAUCAAAUUCCCCGUCAUGUGAUGACGUGGCAUUAAGAAGAAAACCAAAUUUGAAGUGGGCCCACAGAAAAGAGCAAAAUAAACAAAUUACAUUUAAUCCUACAAAAAUUACUAAGGGGGGUGUGUUCAAUCUAGAUUUUAAAUGAUUCUGAUUGAUUUAUUAUAAUCCGUGGAUUUUAAUUGAUUAUGAGAAUCCACAGAUUAAUUCCACAUGGAUUCAAACUGAUUUUGAUGUAUUGUUUUAAAAAGAUUUGUUUGGAUUUCAUAAAAACAUGAAUAAACCUUAUAACAAUAAUAAAAUAAAGAACAUAUUAGAAUACUUUUUUUUUUAUCAAAAGGUCAUAUGAUUCAAUAAUGAGCAAGCAGUACAAAAACGACGCACCCCAAAUGGGUCGUCAGAAAACAUCGUUUCGCAGAAUCUCCAAUCCUACACUACCCAAAGCAUAAGCUAAGACAUUCUUAGUACACUUACCGUUUAGCUCUUAAGCACCUUUAUUAUACAAGUAAACUAGGUUUCGUAGAAAGAAAUCAAGAAUCUACGAACACUACCAGUCUACCUGGACCAAAACCAAAUUAAACAGAUUCUAUAAGAGGGACGUCAGACGCAUCCUCCUCACUCUUCUUAGCUUGCGCCUCAAUCUUCAGCACUUGUAUCUUUGGCUCUUGAGUUGGUGCCUCCUUGAGCAUCCCCACCUCAAAAACCAUACCACCAGAAACCUCUUGCAUCCCUACAAUUGGGUUGCCUCAGGUCUCCCCUUCCAGAUUCUUUUCGGUGACCAAAGGAUUCACUGAACCGACAGAAACAAGUCCUUUAGCAGUAGUCUUCUCGAAGGAGGAAACUUGCUUGUGACUCUUCCAUUUCUUGACCACAGGAGCGGUCUCUGUUCUAGGUUUGUUCUUGCUGCUAUAAGGGCGACCUAACUUCUUCUUCUUCUUCUUUGGGGAUACAACCAAAUGACCUGAUGAUGAACCAAAGCCACAUAUCCUGUCUCAGCAAUAUUCAGAGAUGGUUCAAGGAAAUUAAGAAAACAUUUACUUGUACGCUCCAACAAGUCCACAGCCUUCCGCUUACUCCCAAUAGUGCACGACUUUUCCUGCCGCUCCACCACCAUAGGGGUCGAUGAACAUACCACAGGCUCCAUACCUCCACCACUACCUUUCGCCGGUGAUACCACCGAAUUAGAGCUACCACCUGUGUUUACCGAGAGCAAAGAAGUUGUCAUAGACUUCACUGCAUGGGCAGACCUCGGGCCACCCUCAGAAACCCUAGGAACAAAAACCGGGUUUGAGAACAAAGAGAGAUUGCCUAACUCCUCCGUCAGAGGGGCCUUGAUAGCUGCUCUCUCAAGCUCCACCAUUCGGUCACAGCCUAUAGCAUCAUGCAUGAAUAGACCACACCUCUUACAAAAACCUUUCACCUUCUCAAAAGUGAAAUCCAAUUCCACCACAACCUCAUCAGCCUCAAAUUCAACCUCUUGCCAAACCCUAAUACAACGACGAACAUCAAACUCCAACCGAAUGCGCUGGAUCUCCUCCUUCCGCUUCAAAACUUAUGGAUCAAACCGAAUGACACGACCAAGACCUAUACCCACCAUUCUCAGAGCCGUAGGGUUUCUAAGAAGGUGUGGCAGUCCCUGAACAUCCACCCACGUCUCAAGCAAAUUGAGAGGGACAGCAACAGGGUCUCCUCUCCCAUCAUACUCACCAAGGACAAGCAUUGUAUUCCUAUAGUGCCACGGACCACCAUGGAGGACUUGAUUACGAACUGAAACUCGAUCAAAUUGGAACACAUAGCGAUCCCCAGCAUCGGAGAUGGACAACCCCUUCUUCACUCUCCAAAUCGUGGAGAUGGUACCUUUGAAGCCUGGAAACCUGUCCUUAGGGCCCAACAAUCGACCUAUCAGGUAGGAAUGAUCAUCUUUGGUCGCCGCCCCCCUUUCAAUUCCGAUCUUGAGUCGGGAAGAGUUCGAGAGCAACAGAUUGGAUGACGUGGCUCGAAAAGCCGUUGACAAAGAUGCAAUAGCGGAAGCCAUGGAUCUGGGUUUUCGAAGGUUGAGGACGAAACCCUAGCAGAGCUUUUGAGAGCGGCUAGGUCGAAAGUUUUUGGUAUGUCAAUGAUAUUUUGAUGUUAACAUAUUAGAAUACUUAUUAUGACUUGAAGAAAAAAGUUUCAUAAAUUUAUGUAUGUCAACCAGAUUAGCAAAUAUGUAAAGACAACCAAAGAAACACAUUAUGAAAAUUGCAAAGACAACAAAGUACAUUAGAUUCUUAAAAAAAUAAAUAAAUAAAUAAAAUUAGAAAGCUGCGUAUUCAUCUAUUCCAACCUCAUUAUCGUCAUAAUCUUCUUCUUCAUCAUCCACAUCAUCCAUAUGUUCCUCAAUAUUCUCAUUCUCAUUGUUGUCCUCUUGACUUCCAUUAUCACCAUUUCGCGGUCUAUCUCACCACAUAGCUUCAGCAAUAUAAAGCCUUCAAGCAUUAGCCUCUGCUCUUUGUCGUAGUUGACUUUGAGAAAAAAGUUCAAGAUUCUCAUCUUCCACAUCUAGAUAGGAUGAAGAUGAUGAAUCAUUUUCUGGUUCAACAGGAAAUUCAUCGGAACAACAUUCUUUGCGAAGAAAGUUGUGUAGUCCAGCACAAGCUAACACCAAUUCUGCUUGUGUUUUAUAUGGGAAUGGAGAUGCCGUUUUGAAAAUUGUGAACCGUGACUUAAAGAUACCAAAUAUCCUCUCAAUCACAUUCCUCAAUGAUGCAUAACGAAGAUUGAACAACUCACUUGCAUUUCAGGGAUGGCGACCUUGACCACCAAGAUCCUUAAGAUGAUAUCUAACACCUCGUAAUGGAGCUAAGAAUUGACGUUGAUUAGCAAAUCCACAAUCCACAAGAAAAUAUUUGCCUAAAAAUAUAAAAUAUAAUAAUUAACAUGUCAAACUAUGAAAAAUACUCAACCUCACCAAACAAACAAACUGAUAAAAGGGAAAUUACUAACUUUUACUAUAUUAGAACAAGGACAACAUAAGUUAAAGCAAAACGUAAAGAACGACUUAGGAAAGCCAAGACACAAUGGACAACUUUAAUAAUAGCUCAUGAACCAGAAAAGAAUAAUAAGAGGAGAAGUUGACUCAAUAACCAAAUUUGUGAUGAUAAUACUCUAUUAUACAUACAUAGAAAUAUUUUUAUUAGUAUGUAUAUAUAAUCUUUGUUUUGUUUCUUAAUUAUAAACACGUCAAUAAUACUACAAAUGCAAACAAGUCAAAACAAGCAUAUAGUCUUCUAAAUGUAAUUUCAUUUCCAGGAUCAAUAUGUACCAUAAUACUAGCAUAUACAGUUCACACACAAANNNNNNNNNNNNNNNNNNNNUAUAUAUAUAUACGACGGCGUUCUAAAGAGGACGUCCGCACAACCCUUAAAGUGCGGACGUUCCUCCGUUUGCCACCGUACGGCUCCGACGACGGCGCGCCUCCACCCCAGCGGCCUCCAGCAGCGUCCCCGGUCACUUUCCCUUCCCGACGAGUUUGUUCUUUUGCAGUUUUCCGGUGAGAUCACACAAAACUUCAAAUAAAGUCGAUCUUGUCGGAAAACUGGAAUUUGGCGGACUCGCCGGGGAGGGAAAGUGAUCGGAGACGCUGCUGGAGGUCGUUGGGGUGGAGUUGCGCCGUCGUCGGAGCCGUACGGUGGCAAACGGAGGAACAUCCGCACUUUAAGGGCGCGUGGACGUCCUCCUCUGAUCCGAACUGUGUGUAUAUAUAUAUAAUAAAAUGCGCAUCGGCAUAUAUAUUUGUAUGAUCUAAAAGGGGUUCAAUCUGAUAAUAGCUAGGCUGUAUAUACAGCCAAGAUUUUAAAGCAAAUUGUCAUACCAAAUCAACAAAAUCAUAACUAGUGAAACAAAAUAUGAAUAGGGAUAGUUAUCUUAUUACAACUAUCAGUAUAUCACAUAUGUUAUAGAUCAACAUGUACUUUCCUGUCAUGAAAUAUUGUCUUUCAUUCAAGGCUUGUUGUAUAAUGAACUUAAUUAUUAACUAUACCAGUGAUUAUUAAUGAACUUGAUUAUUAGUAUCAGACUUCUACUUACCAAUGUACUAUAAACUUGCCUAAACAUUAAACAUGAAAAAGGGUAAAUAAUAGCUAUAUGACAGUAACCUCUUGGCAAUACAUAACUGGGAAAAAAAAACUAGCUAAAUAAAAAUUUCAAGAUCGUCUGAUAAAAUCAGAGAAAUAUCACACACCAAUUCAAUAUAUAGUUCCCAAUGAAAAAGGGGCAUCCGAGCUAGGUUAGACCCAAAAAAAAAAAAAAUCUCAGCAACAAAAGAAAUUAGAUCAGUUUACAAAGCUAAAAAAAGUCAAGUAAAAAAGUAGGGGAAGAUCAUCACUAGUUCACUACUUCACUAGAGCUGAAAAGAGUUGCAUGCCAAUAAAGGGAAUGAAAAAAAAAAAAUUCAAUUUAAAGCCAAAAUAACCCUUUUUAUUAGAUCUGGAGAAACUAAAACAAGAAAUAUGCAACAUACAUGGAUCCAAAAACACAUACAAAUACGAGAACAUGCAUGGCCAGAAAUAGCAUGAUAACAUAUAUGCAUGAAAACUAUCCAUAUGCACUACAAUCUAUAUUGAAUCAAUGCAAUUUACUAAACAUAUGUAUCAAAACGAUUCUGGCUCGUUCCUGUCCAAUGAUCCAUAUUCAUAUAUAUAUAUAUAUAUAUAUAUAUAGUUNNNNNNNNNNNNNNNNNNNNNNNNNNNNNNNNNNNNNNNNNNNNNNNNNNNNNNNNNNNNNNNNNNNNNNNNNNNNNNNNNNNNNNNNNNNAUCACUUUUCGAUCGAAUUUUCUCAUCUCCACCGUCUAGUAUCUAGAUAAUAUUGUGUAGAUCAACACUGUAAAAUUUCAGCCAAUUUGAUAAUCGUUAAGGCCCUUAAAAUUACGUCUUUCUAUUAUAAACAUGAACAAUUCAUGUUUAACAUAAUUGGAUCCGUCAAUUUGUUUUUGAAGUCUAAGGCCACAGUUUGAAGCAGAUAAAGUAGAGAGCUGGAAACUGGAAGAAGCUUCCAUCAUCGUUGUUGUUACAGGAUUUUCCCAAAUCCAAGCUUUUCUCUUUCUCUGUGUGACAAAAACAGCUCAGAUAGAAAAAUAAAACCUGAGUUUUUUUGCUCGGGAAAUUUUGAUUUUCCGGGGGAGAAUCGUCGCCGAUUUAUUAACAAUCGUACUCCGUGGCCGGAAUUCCGAGUUCGUUGAGUCGGAACGUUGUGUUAUUGGCAGAAAGGAGGAGUCGGAGUUGGAAUUCUAAUCGGCGGUUUUGGUUUCGUUGCUUCGGUUAGGGUUUGGAAAUUGAAUUUGGGGAUUUACGGUCACUGAGGAGGCGUAUAGUGCGUCUCCGGCGACGGUUACUGAAUUUGGAAGCGUUUUUGGAUUGGAUUGAUGAAAUUAGGGUUUGGGUGAUUGAGUUUCGAGUAUCGUCGGAAUUGGGGAGGUCGGAAUAUGAUAACUAAGCGGCCGGCGAGUUUCGAAAUGCCGAAUUUGAAGCGGUGCAAGCUGGAGGAGGCGGAAGCGAAAGCCUAUGAGUAUUUCAGAUCCGGUUCGUCGGGAUACGACGAGUCGUUUUCGGCUGCGGUGGGGCUGGAGUCGAAUUUGCAGCGGAAGGCAUUGAAUCAGAGCCCCGAGAAGUUUCGGAGGUCAGCAAGAGGAAGGCCGCAAGUGGUGCCGUCGAGGUUUAAAGAUUCGGGUGAGUUAUGUGAGAAGAAGCAAGCUAAGCAUGGAGGUAAGAAAAACUGUGCAAAGAAGAAGGAAGUGAUGUUUAGGCCGCAUGACUUUGCCUUGGGUGAUAUUGUUUGGGCCAAGUGUGGGAGGAGAUACCGGUUUUGUCCUGCGGUGGUUAUCGACCCCAUAGUGCAAGCUCCUGAUGCAGUGUUGGGCUGCCGCAUUCCUAAUUCUAUAUGUGUGAUGUUCUUUGGGUUCUCAAAGAAUGGAACACAAAGGGUAAAUUUUUCCACUGCUGAAACUCUUAGAGUUUAUUUUGUGGGUACAAUAGAUUUGCUUACAGUGUCUGGUUUAUAUGAACAGGAUUAUGGGUGGGUGAAGCAGGGAAAGAUAUAUCCGUUUAAGCAGUUCCUUGAGAGGUGUGUAGCUAAUUAAUCCUGAGCUCUAUUUUGCUUCUUUGAUUUUUGAAGAUAAAGUCUUUGAAUAUUCCAGAGUUUUGGCUUCUUCAGAUUUCGAGGACAGACCCAAUUGUACAGGAGUAAACCAAGUGAGUUUCAGAUGGCAAUUGAGGAGGCAGUGUUAGCAGAAAAUGGCUUCGUUUACCCACCUUGUAAAGCUACUGAUUCAGAGGCAAAUGUGACUGAAAUCCAAGAGGCCACAGAUUUUUAUCAAGAUCAGGCAUAUCACAGUCAGAAUCAGGUAAGUUUUUUUUUCUUUCUCAGUAUGAUUUCUAGUAUAUAAUCCGGAACUUCUAGUUUUGUUGUGUAACUAGGCACAUUAUUUUGAUAAUCCCCAGAUGAAACAUAGAAGUUAGAAGUACUUCUUAUAUCUUUUUAGGUGAUGUGCCUUGAUCUAAUAUCUAAGAACUUGUCUGUUUCAAUUCCUUUGCUUUUGCUUUCUGUUUAAUCUUGAAUUAAAGAAGACCUGUUUUAAGAAUGCUACAUGAUAACCUUGAAAGAAUACAUUUUGGCAUUCUUAUGAAAGUUUAAAAGCAUUACCUUACAAAACAAUAAAAUCACAGAUAGAAAUUAAAGGCAUCGAUUUUUAUAGCAAGGACCCAAACAACGCUUUGUACUCAGUCAGUUUUUUAUUUUAUUUUAUUUGGGUUGGUUUUUUUGAACUCUUUUCUUGCCGAGAUUAUAAUUCUUAACGCAGGUUUCUGCAAUUUUUCUUUGUGUAAAUUUUGUUUCCAUGUUAUAUGAAUGAUAAUCUAUUGCUAUUGUUCUACCAAAGUCUGGCUGUCUCUGGAAUGAGUGUUCAUCCAAUAAAUUCAUUGUGCAGGAAGCAUUACAGAAGGACACAAGACCUUGUGAUUGCUGUGGUUUGAUCAAUCCAUCUAAAGCACUGAAAAAAGUGAAGGGCUCUGGUUCUGAAACCCAAGUUUUAUGUAAACAUUGUGCAAAGGUUCAAACUAGCCUCAUGUUGGAGUUCUAUUAACUUUGAAAGUGAAAAUUUUUCCUACAUAAACAUAGGUUUCUAAUGAUGCCUACUAUCAUUUUAUGUAGUUGAGAAAAUCAAAACAAUAUUGUGGCAUAUGUAAGAUGAUAUGGCACCAUUCAGAUGGUGGAGAUUGGGUGAGUAAUUUACAAUCUUUGUGUUUUUGACUAAUCUAAUGUCAUCACGAUCAAAAUCAUUCAUUACUAUAGUUUUUGCAGUUGAAAAGUUUGGGAAUUUGUUCAUUUCAAUUAUCUGUCUCAGGUAUGCUGUGAUGGCUGUAAUGUUUGGGUUCAUGCCGAUUGUGACAAAAUUUCUAGUAAAGUACUCGAGGUAUACCGUUCAUGCUUAACUUGACAAUAGGUUUUCGUUUCUCCUACAUUUUUUAUACCUAAUUUGGUCAAGUAGUGAAGCAUUACUGAAUUGCCCUGUUGUCCAGGACCCUGAGCACAAUGAUUACUAUUGUCCUGAUUGCAAAAAUAAGUCCAAAUGUGAAUUGUCAGAUGUGGUACACUGUCAGCAAAAACCGAGGCAUGUCGGAAACUUUUGUAUUUCAUUAGAUUCUACUGAUUUUGUUCAUUUAUACAUUAUCUCUUCAUGUUUCUCUGUCACUGACUUAUGUGGCAACUUUGAAACAGGUCUGGGGCAAGCAGCCGGAAAUCUGUGACUAGCGUAACUGUGGUUUGCAAUGGCAUGGAAGGAACAUAUGUACGAAGCCUUCAUAUGUAAGUGCUUAUCUUCUGAAAAAUGAAGAAUUAUAUUGGGAUUUAUUUCUCUUUUACCAUUUAUGUACCCUUUCACUUUAAAAUCAUUUGGUCUUGCUUGGUAUUUUGUCUUCCUUGUUGUAGUCAAUCAAUUUCAACUACACUGUAAUGCUGUAUAGUCAUCUUUGGAGGAUUUCCUAGCUGCUUCUCAUUAUUUUAUGUUGCAGGGUUGCUUGUAAGUGUGGAUCAUGUGAUGAGUCAAAGAUGCGAAGCCUUGGUAAAUGGGAGAGGCACACAGGUUGCAGAACAAAAAAUUGGAAGCAUACUGUGAAAGUGAAGGCCACGAUGCAAACACUGGAACAAUGGGUUUGUACAAUAUCUUUUAUCUUAUCUACACUAUGUUCUUGGCAAUCAGCAAUAGUUUUUAUUUAGUUUUGAGAAGAGGUUGCUUGCUCAAGUUCUUUUGGUAAACAAGGAUUUCCUUUUAACUCUAAUUUUGCACUAUACUGAUUCUAGACAGUUUCUCAGUAAUCAUGAAUAUGUUUCAGAUUGCAAAGUAUGGUUUACAGCCUCUCGCAUUAGAUAAGAAGCGACUACUUGAUUUCUUACAAGGUAAAUACUUGCCUAAUUCUUUACAUGUUGGCUGAUCUAAUUUUCCAUCUGUGUCUCUGUCACAGAGGAGGCUGAGCCUUGUGCUUAAGCGGCAAGGAGGUUUUUGGUUGAUAAUUUCUUAUUUUGAGAGACUGACUUGUAUCUUUGUUGCAACAGAAAAGUAUGAGCCAGUUAAUGCAAAGUGGACAACUGAAAGAUGUGCAGUUUGUAGAUGGGUGGAAGAUUGGGAAGAUAACAAAAUGAUCAUAUGCAGCAGGUGCCUGUCUCCAUCUUUUGUUGCAUCUUUGUGCCAAAUUUUAAUUUUUAGAUAAUUGAUUUAUUCUUGUUUCUGAUGCAAGACUUUAGAGUGUCACAUAAUUUUUGUUACUUUGUUCAGGUGUCAAAUAGCUGUGCACCAAGAAUGCUAUGGUGCAAAAGAUGUUCAGGAUUUUACUUCAUGGGUUUGUAGAGCAUGUGAAACACCUGAUAUCAUUAGAGAGUGUUGCCUUUGUCCUGUGAAAGGUAUUUUUGCCAUCAUCUAUUGUUUUGUGUUGACCUUAAGAAUUCCAUAUUGGGUUUAUGUACUGAAAUUAUGUGAUGAUGAUGAUGAUGAUGAUGAUGAUGUUGUUCUGCUAUUUUCAGAGUUCCUUUUUGUUCACGUGUGACUAUUCAUUUUCAUGCCAUUGAUGAUUCCAGUGUUGUUAAUGCUUAAUAUCUAUAUUUCUUUCAUCCUCAUUUUGAAGCUUAAGCAGAUAUUGGUUUGACUUCUGUGUAUCAUUAAUAGUCAUGCAUAUGUUUGAAUUGUUUCAUAUAAAGCAAACCUGAAAUAUGUACCAGCAUAAGAUGUGCACCAUAAUGCUAUCUUAUAUCUUCAGUUAGGUUGACUGUUUUCUAGUUUUGCUGAUUUGCUGAUUUGAAAUUGGUUUCUUCAGGAGGUGCUUUGAAGCCUACUGAUGUUGACACCUUUUGGGUUCAUGUUUCUUGUGCUUGGUUUCGUCCUGAAGUUGCUUUCUUGAAUCAUGAGCAGAUGGAACCUGCUGUUGGAAUCCUUAGAAUCCCACCCACUAGUUUCAUGAAGGUAACUUAAUACUUUGGGUGGUACUUUUGGACAUUCAGUUACUUUGUUUUCUUAUUCUUAACCAAAACCGGUGUGAUGUUGUGGUGGGAAUUUUUCAUUUUUUCUUGGGUUUCUCUGCCAGUUCGGAGAGGACAGUUCAUCAUUUUCUUAUUCAGUUCACCUACUCUUUUGGAACAGCGUUGUGUAAUUUGUACGCAGACUCAUGGUUCCUGCACCAGGUGUUGCAAAUGUGCCACUCAUUUUCAUGCAACCUGUGCAUCAAGAGCAGGCUACAGCAUGGAAGUAAGGUUUACUUGUUGUUUUACUUUAUGAACGCCUUUCCACAUCUUCAGUAGCUACAACUUAUGUACUAGUCCUUUAAUCUCAUUGAUCUUUCUUCUUCUUUGUUUAUUUGCACUUAUCUUUCAAUUGUUAGGAAUAAUUGUCAACAAUGUUGGUGAUUUGAUUAUAUUGCACCUUGAACUUUCAGUUGCACUGCCAAGAGAAGAAUGGGAAACAAGUAACAGCGAAGUUGAUAUAUUGUGCAGGGCACAGGUUAGGACUGUACUGUAUUUGACAUAUGAUCCCUAUUGGUAUUAGUCCUCUCAAUGGGCGCAUUUGAUUGUUGUUGCAUUUAUCUGUGUUGUUGACUUCAUAUUGAUAACCUUUGUCUCAGGAAACCCAAGCCAGAUGCUGUUGUAGUUGUGACCUGAACUGUCAGAAGGACAUGUGGCUUGGUGAGCGUCGUCAAGGCUCACGGAGGGUAAUCUUUGAUCGUUGGCAAUGAAACAUGUGGCUCGGUGAGAGUCGACAAGGCUCACGGAAGGUAAUCUUUGAACGUUGCCAUUGAAACAUGUGGCUCGGUGAGCGUCUCCAAGGCUCACGGGGAAGAACUAACAAGGACGGCCUGAUGCGAGUAUUUUUAUUUAGCUCGGUAUCAUAGUUUCUUUUUUGUUAUACUGUUUAAGCAAAAGGAUGUGGUAUGGCGGCAGGAGAAGAAGAUUCAAUGGUUAAUUAUGUAGUUCUCCAUUAACCAAAAGGAUUAAAUAAAGGGGGAUUUCUUUGUUCCCCACGUGAGUGCAUGAAAUUGUCUCUCCGACAAUUAUUGACGGUGCUCCCUUAAGCUUCUGCUACUGUGUGCUUGUCGGAAAAAAAUGCAUCUUCUGACACAUAUGGGGGCAAGUAAACUGAGCUGUGAGACCUGAAGUACAAAAAAACAAAAAUUCAAAGGAAAGGAUCGAAAAUUCCUCAGUCCAACAGUGAAAAUUCACUUUCUGACGUGGCAUAAUGAGACCCACAUCUUUGAGUCGGAUAUUGACUUUGACCAACUCUCUCGCUCUCUCCCCGUUAAAGUUAAAUAUGUUGUAAGUUUUUUUUUUUUUUUUUUUUUUUUUUUUUUUUUUUUUUUUUGUGGAAAGACAAAAUCUGGGUUUGAGACUGAGGAUCGAUCUGGGUUUGAGCAUUGAUAAUCUCAACUUACCCACUUCUCUUUGAAAUCUAUUCAUCUAUGUCGGUCUCUCCCAACUUUCCAUGUCCCAGGCAAACCAUAGCCUUACUUAAAUCCAAACAAAACCCAUUACUGCUCAUCAAUUUCCUUCAAAGAUUCUUCUCUAUAGACGGCGACGACAACCAUAGUUGUCUCUGUGGAAGAGGCUAAAGGCUUCCUUGAACUCAGGUAUGAUCAUCGGUCGAUCGGCCAUGGAUAUCUUAAAAAUCUGAAUUUUUCUCUUGAUAACAAAAUGAGUUAGAGACUGCAAACUGACGAAUCUGAAGUUUGCGGAACACAGCCACCCAGAAAUUUGAAUAGGAAAAGAAAAGAAGGGCGAGUAUUUAUUCCAGGUCGACGACGAUCUUCUCCGACCUCGCUAUUCUUUUUCGACUCAGUACUGUUUGCGCGUGUCCACUCGCCGUCAACAAACGGUUGGUGACGUAUCACUGUGAACCGAAGAAUCUCCGGGAAAGGAUCAGUAAGUUUAAACAGCUCUAGUCGAAUCAUUAACCAAAAACAAGAAGAGAGAUGGGAUGCGAUGGCGGCUUACUGUUACUUGGGUUCGAAGAAAGACCUCAAUUUAUAUUGAAUCGCUAGGGUUGUUCAUUCUCACAAUUUUCUACAGAAGGCUCAAAAAAAAAAAACACAAGAGUUUGCCGCCAAGGUAAAAUUACUGUCGAGGAUUUUGUGAAUCGCCAUACCACGAAAAAAUGGUAAACUGCAAAACGGGAACAUUCAAAGCCCACAUAUAGAAGAGGCAUGAACGCAAAGAAGCAAUCCAUUUACUCAAAUAUGAAGAUCACCCGUUUAUUCCAAACUUAUGGAAACACAGCCAUCCAUGGUAGUAGUCAAAUUUCAAAAAAGAAGGAAGGACAUCAAGGCAUUGAUUGACAUUAACGACGUCAAACUGCACAAGCAAAAAAAAAAAAAAUUCAAGCUAGUUUGCAUAAAAAAAAAAAGAGAGACUUCAAGCCGUGCCUCCGACACGCGACGGCGCCAUGACUACGACGCACCUUGAAGUGAGGGCAUUUGUAGACAUAAAAUUUAACAAAAAUAAUAAUCGUUAAAUUAUUCAGACGACGCAUGAGCCCGACAAAUUGCAUACGUGGCUCGUAAGUCGAUAAAGUUGAAAAGCCUUAGAAAUGACGCGUGGCAACGUGUGAAUGGUCGGUCAACAACAAAAUGAUCAAUCCCGACUAAAAUCAAAUAUUAAAUAUCAAUCGAAUUAAAUUGAUUAUCGAAAAGGAAGUCGAACAUUUAAUCAAAUUGGCGAAAUACCUUAUCAGUCAUAAUUAAAUCGAUCAAUUAAGACUGAUUGAUUUAAUUAUGUUAAAUUGAAUAAUUGAAUCAAGCAAUCAAAAGUAAUUGAUUUAUUAUACCGUAAAGGAAAUAUAAUUAAAGCGGUGAUGUUAAUGCAUUCUAUAUACGGAGGAGCAUCGACACUAUAAAUUUCCCUCUCAUAUCAAGAGGAGGACUUCCGGCCAAGAGAGAAAAAUUACUCCUGAAAGCUCAGACUCAUAAGUCUCUUAAACCCUUGAACAAUCAUUAAAAUGCCAAAUAGCCGAUUCUUCGUCAACUUCAAGCUUAGAAGUUAUCAAAUCUUGAAAAGUCACCAAGCUGCCAAAUAGCUGACAUCUUCAUCAACUACAAGACAAAGAACAACCACCACGUGACACAGCUCGUGACCUAAAACCGAUCAACAUCAAGCCUCGACGGCCCUUGAUCAACCUUCAUCUUGAAGUCUUCAACAAAUCAAAAUUUCUAUCAAGUUCUUCAACAAGCUCGUGGAGAAUCAACAAGCACCGAACACACGUGCCGAUUCAUCCGCCAUCAAAGCCGAAGAACAUUCACCACCACAUGACACCACUCGUGGCCUAAGUCCGAUCAAGAACAAGCCUUGACGGCCCUUGGUCAAUCAUUCUUGACAAAUUGUCAAGACGACAAGACGCUCAAACUAAAACCAUUUGAUUCAAGAUCAAGUGCUCGUCACCCUUGGAUCAAAUCAACAUCGGAGAUCGAAUUAGAGGAAAAUCUUGUUAAAGAAUACCCACAGAGAUUGUAACCCGCAAAUUCAUCAAUAAAAAUAUUUAAUUUUGUACAUGUGUCUUUCUAUUAUUCGUUACAAGAAUUUUAGUGGUUACAAAACGUAUACGCUAAUUAACUUAUAUUAAUUAACCGGGUAAAAAAUAAGAAAAAAUUCAUUCUCAACCCUCAGAAUUGUGAAAGUUUUGAAAUGUUUUCAUGAUCGUGAUUGGAAAGAAACACUAUGAUUCUUGUCAUGAGCUUUGCAAAAUCUGAUAUAAUAGCUAGCAAGUAGCAACACAUUUUUGUGCAGGGCCCUUCCAAUGAGGGAUCCCUAUUUUUUGUCACUUCUAGGGAUAUGUCCACACCAUUAGAUCUGUUUUUUAAUGGGCUUGAAUGGCUGAGAUUAAAACAAAAAACUUAACACUUAUGUCAAACAUACACCGUUCAAGAUCAUUAAAAAUAAAUCCCUCAUUUGGAUGACUUAACGAUCACCAAAUUUUCUGAAAAUUUGUAAAAAUGAUAUACUCAUAUAGCCCAACAAACUGAACGGUGGAGAUGUGAUUUAGUGAUCGGGAAGUUUGUCAAAUGAUUUAUCCCUAGAAAUGAACAAAAAAAGGGAUCCCUCAUUGGAAGCGCCCUGCAUUUUUGUGAGGUUUUUCGUUUGUUUGCUAAUGAAUACAAGCUGAUCGGAUAAUUAGAGCAUUAAAACGCAUGCCUGAUGAUAAAAGCUUAUCUUAUAUAUACAUGCCCCUCUACGUGCUAUCAUCAGUCCACGUUGCGACAACAUCGAUCUACUCUCUUGGACAUCUUGACCAAGACAUCGAUCCGAUCAAUAUCCCAACCUCAGCAUCACCUUCAUUCCCUCAAUCCUUAGGGCAUCUCUCAUGGUAGGCUAAAUCCUUAACCAAAUUUGGUUUAAAAAACAAGAAUAUUUUGUGUAAUCUUUUUUUAGCCUAUCAAAGUCUCCCAUCGUAAGCUAAAUCCUUAGCUAAAUUUAUAGCAUUUUGACUUUAAAAAACACUCCCACCAUAAGCUAAAUCUCAAGGUAAAGCCAUUUCUAAUUAUUUUUUCAUAUAUAUGUAAUAUUAUAUUUCUAUGCAUAUUUUUUUCUUUUCUCAUAUAUAUAUAAUAUUAAAAAUAAUUUGAAACUACAAAUAUUGAGAAGGACAUACAUGGAUCUUAUUCCUUCAAUAUACAAUAAUUAAAAGAUACAACCAACGAAAACUUUAAAAAAAUAUACAACAACAAAUUUAUUUGAAAACAAAAUAUUUAUUUAGAAAUAAACAUUUAACGAUCACGAUUUCAAACUUAUGUUCUUCCAUGUCGCUGUCAAAUAUGUUCAACCAAAGCAUUUCGAAGUUCAUAAUAAGAUUUCUUUUCUUUAAUUUUGCUAACAUGAAUCCCAACAACAACAAUCGCCCAUAACGUUUGGCUAUGACAAUUUUGCUAUGAUGAAUCUGUUCCAAGGUGACACACAAGCUACAUUCAACUCUGGAAGCUUUGGUAUUGCACUUCAAGUUUCAAGUAAAUAUGGAUCAAGCGGUGAAUACAGAGCAACGCCAAAUUAUGGAGGAAUUGGUGGCUAUGGAGGAAUGAGUCUUUAUGAAGGACCUUUUGGAUAUGGAAAAGGUAUAGACUAUGGAGGAAACAGAGGUAUCGGAACAAGCGAUGGACAUGGAGAAGCCCCGUAACGAAAGCGGUGGAGUACAAAAUUAUUAUUGAUGGUUAUUAUAAUAUGGGUUUUUUUAUUGAAAAAUAAUAUGUGUUUUUAAUAAGUCUAGCAUUUUAUGUUAGUUAUUUCGUUAUGUUGUAAUUUUGUUAAGUCUAGCAUUUUGUGUUGUUUACGUUUUAAUAAGUAAUAUAAUCAUUUUCAUGAAUAAGCUAUAUACUUUUUUAAUUUAAUAAUUAAUCAAGUAUAUGAUUUUAUCUAAAUAUAUUAGAUAUGGGGCUUACAUGAAAGAUCUCGUCGAGAUCUUCGCAAUGGUAAAAAAACUAAGGAAAAUGCUUAAGACACCAAAAAUUUAUACCAAAACUCUAUCCCAAAUGAUGUGGCACUACCACAUCAUCUCCUACAUGGAUUAAUUUCCAUAAUUUAUUUUUCAGUUAUAUAUAUCAUUACAAACUUCCAAUAGUAAAAUAUUUUCUUCUGCUAAUUCGUGUGCUAUACUCAACACUCAACCAAGUUUAUGUGUGAAAGAAUUAUAGCAAUUAUGCUCCCUCAUUGAAGAAAGAUUUCAUGGUGUGAGUAACUCUUAUUGUUAAAUGAUUUAAUUAGAGGUUUGUUCCAAGUUCAAUUGGAGAUGGCUUCUUCAUAUCAGGUUAAUUAACCUUAUUCAUGAACGUACGUCAGGUAUUAUAUAUGGACAAACAAUCUAACAAUUNNNNNNNNNNNNNNNNNNNNUUAGGAUGCGUGGGGACUGAUACUAUCAUCAGGUGAAGAGUUUUUUUUUUUUUUCUUUUCUUUUUUUUUUUUUUGUUAGAAAGAAGACGUUUUUCUAUGAGAAACAAAGACAUAAAUAUAAGAGUUUUAGAGCAUACAAUCUACAUAGAUCUCAAUCAGUCUGACAACAACCCAUUGGUAGAUCUGGAUAAAAAAGUGAAGGCUUGGAUGGUGAUUUAUGGGACACAAAGGCGUUGAAUGAUGAAUUAGGGUUCUUCUUGUUCCUCUCUUUGAUUUGUUUUUCUAAUAUUUUAAUUCAAGAAACUGUUUUUUUUUUAGAAGAAGAAACUGUUUUCUUAAAUUAGCCAAAAUCCAUGUCAGCAUUAUUGAUAAAUAAAAACGUUGAGGUGGCUUAUGCCACAUCAUUUGGGAUUCAAAUUUUGUAAAAUAUUUUGGUGCCUCUAGCAUUACUCAAAAACUAAAUAGAAAUGAGUUUUUAAUUAUGUAGUUGUGAGGGAUUAAAUAUUUUUAAUUCAAAUUUAAAAAUGAUAUAAAAUGAAAUAAGAUGGUCGGUAGAAGGGUAAAUCUGGAAAAAAAAUAAAACUGAAUAAAAUUAUGGAAGUGGAAUGCCAAAUUUAGCUUACAAAAUUGCUUAGGUUAAGCUAAAUUUUUUGCCUUGAAAAUUGAAAUUUGGCUUAUAGUGGGAGUAACUAUAGACUAAAUUUGGUUUUUUAGUCUACCAUGAGAGAUGGUCUUACAGGUUUUACUACAUACAUGGCAUUCGAACUAUAAAUAGUUUCUUGUGAGUUUGUAUCACUUGUAUGAUUGAUACGAAUUACCUAGGUGUUACUACUAAUAACGGAAUUAUUAAUAGCACUAAAACACACAGGUAACGUAGGUCGAAGAAAAUAUAUUCCUCUCUUAUUAUUGUACAAAAGGGUACAAUGAUUAUUGUUUAAUGCCUUCUCUCACAAUAACACUCUAGCUCUCUCUGAGUCGCUCUCUUCUAAACAGAUGUUGUUUCUGUUUCACUCUGGUAUAAACAUAUGUUGUCUCUGUUUCACUCUGGUCUAAACAGAUGUUGUCUAUGUUUCACUCUUGUCUAAACAGAUGUUGUCUCUGUUUCACUCUGGUGUCUAGAACUAAGCUAGAAACCUCUAUUUAUAGAGUCUAAAUCUUUAUAAAUCCUUAUCUAACUUGGAGAACACUCCCUAACUAAGUUAGACAACUAAUCCCAAACUAAGUUGGAAAACUAUUCUCCUAACAAGCUAGAAAAGCUAUUUCCUUAACUAACUUGGAGAAGGAAUCGGCUAAUUCCUAAAAGCUAAAGGAUACACAUGUAUCAUGGCUCCCCCUUUUAGGAACUUAAACUCUCGUUUAAGUUAAAACUGAAGAAUAGGAAACUCAAGAGUUCCCUUUUCUUUGCUGAACCAUUUAGCCUUGCUUGGAACUUGACCGGCACGCCCAAUAAGAAACGAUGUCCGCUCCCCCUUACGUGUUGUAGUCACUUUACGCUCCAAAAUGCAAUCUUCAACUAACGGAUCCUCUCGGUUAAACCACAAGUCCUCAACUGAUGGUAAGACUGUCUUGUUGUCGCCAUCAUCAUCAAGUAACUGUGGUUCGAACAACUUCAAUAGCAACUGUUUGACGAGACCGGUCAAUUCUGCAAUUGCAGUGUUUGACGCAGCCAUCUGCUUCUCCAACGCAGCAAGUCUUUCUUUCUCUGGUGUUUCAUCACCCAUCUUCUUUCCUCUUGAUCUUGUGGUAUUUUCCAAAGACACAAGAGAUUUUCCUAGCUUUCUGUAAAGUGAACGAGUCAGGACCAUACACCACAAGACUCCCCACGGAUACGGUUAGCUCUGAUACCAACUUGAUACGAAUUAUCUAGGUGUUACUACUAAUAGCAGAAUUAUUAAUAGCACUAAAACACACAGGUAACGUAGGUCGAAGAAAAUAUAUUCCUCUCUUAUUAUUGUGCAAAAUGGUACAAUGAUUAUUGUCUAAUGCCUUCUCUCACAAUAACACUCUAGCUCUCUUUGAGUCGCUCUCUUCUAAACAGAUGUUGUUUCUGUUUCACUCUUGUAUAAACAGAUGUUGUCUCUGUUUCACUCUUGUCUAAACAGAUGUUGUCUCUGUUUCACUCUGGUGUCUAGAACUAAGCUAGGCACCUCUAUUUAUAGAGUCUAACUCUAUAAAUCCUUAUCUAACUUGGAAACUACUCAUUAACUAAGUUAGACAACUAUUCAUUUUCAACUAACUUGGAGAAGGAAUCACUAAUUCCAAAAAAGCUAAAGGAUACACCCGUAUCAAUGAUGGUGGCCAAGCACUCACAAAUUCUCUAAACGUACUACACUUAUGAAAUAGAACAAGAAUGCCAUACAUGAGCUUAAUUAAUAGUUUUUAUUUUCAGAUGGUAUGAGCAGUUGAUUCUCUUGCAUACACAACCUGAUUUGAGUACAUGAAAUAUAGGUGUAAAUCUGACAUGACCCACCCCGAAUUUCACCCUGAAACCUGGAGUAAGUCGUGCGGGGACCACCUCCAAGGAAAAUUUACUGAAAAGCUUGAGAAAAUCUCCCUUGAAAAUGGACAACCCAAACUUGAAAAUUCCAAAUUACACUCUUAAUACAACACUUCCAAACAUCACAUAAUUAUCCUUUAGAAAUUCUAAACAUAAAAUACAAUAAUCCCAAAGUAUUCAGAGCUACUAGACACUAGCGGAAGCAAGAAAACACGAGUAGGUUAAACAUGUAACCUACUGAUGAAAACUGGCGGAAAUACGGGUGACUAUGCCUCGCCUCCUACUAGAUCCAACCCGAACUCUGCAGACUGGGCAAUUUAAAACGAAGGGCCCAGGGGGAAACAUUUAAUAACGUUAGAGUAAGUGGACAAAAAUAAAAUAAUAAAUAAGAUAUUUAUAUUUCCCCAAAUUAAUUUCUAAGAAAAAAAAAUCGAAUGCAUGCCGCAAGCGAUAAAACUUUUAUCUCAUAAAAUAUCGAGCCUCUCAGACUAUAUGAUAUAUGUAUGUAUUUACACUCGUCCAUACUCCCUAUAUAAAUUCAUGGGUCUAUAUAGGGCUACUACGCUCGCGUCCAACGCUCACGUCACGUCUUAAUGCGGUGCUACACUACACCAUUAAGGUGGACAGAUGGGUGUAUAAAUAUGUGUCCAUACCCCCUACAUGAAUUAAACACUCAUAUAGGGCUACUACGCUCACGUCCAACGCUCACGUUACACCAUAAUGCGGCUAUAUGCUACGCCAUUAAGGUGGACAGACACAUAUGGCUAGCUAGCAUUUUAUAUACAUACUCUCUCAUAAAUACAUAUUUAUAUCCACCGAAAAUCCCAUUUUCGGUAACUCUCCAAGAGAAAUAAAAUUCGUCAAAUUAAAAUGACGUCAAAAUAUUCUGCAACAAUUAUUGUUCAACCAUGAACUCUAGCAUGCAUUUUAUUUAAAACAAAAGUCCACUCACAAAUUAGGCCUAAGCUUGAUGUCGAUCUGGGGCCUCAUCUGCUCAAGCCUCCUUACAUCCUGUUCCAAAUAUAAUAUUAAUUUCCCAACUAACAAUCCAAUAUUUAAUCAAAAUAGACAAAAUUACCCGAGAGCCAUAAAUACGCUCAUCAUUGCCUAACUUCGAUAUUCUUAAAUCGGAACGAUCCGAACUUAAAUAUCAUUCUCGACAGUCGUAAAUACAACCUCCCCAAAAAUACGACUUAAAUCCUACGGCCGGAUUCUACAUUAAUUAACCGCCAAAAAUACCAAACUUCGGAAAUUCACAAACCUAUCCAAAUCUCAUCCAAAAAUUCCAUAAAUCACAUCAAUAUAAUCCCCUUAAUAUUCCACAUUUAAAACCCUAAAAAUCUCCCAAACCGCGGCGGCGCCGGCGCCGGCCGGAGGCCGAUUCCGGCGACCUCCGAUUCCUAUGAAAUUUUGACAGAAUAAUCCUCUCAUCAUGCUCUACAACUUUCCUAACUAGCACAAACACUAAUUCCAAGCCUAACUAGGGUAAUCGACUAAAAACAUCAAAAACACCAUAAAACUUCCACCUUAAAUUUCUCCUUACCUAGCUCAAGAGGGAGUGAGUCCUUUUAGGGCAAGGCUGCUGGGUUAGAGACCUACAAAACCAUACCAAGCUUGCCCGGAUUGGUGGCCGGAGGAGGGAGUUCCGGCGAUGGAGGACUUUGGGCAGCCCGAGGUUCUAGGUUGGAGAACUCCUUCACGGCGGCGCUAGGGCAGCCUUCACCGGCCUAGAAUGGAAGCUGGGUCGGAGGGCAACCGAACGGGACCGGAGCGGCGGCCUACUGUGGCCGGACGGCGGCGAGCUGAGCGGAGGAAACCGGCGGGGGAGAGAGAGCUCGGGAGGGAGAGAGAGAGAAGAGAAAGAAAAGAGAGAAGAAGAAAUAGGCUUGGGCCUCCUACCCGGUCCAAGUCCUAUAUACAACCCAAUUCCAAAAAUAAAACACCCCGAAAAAAUAAUACCCGAAUAAAAAUUACAUUUUACUAGCUAAAAUUUACCAUUUUUACCGUCGUCAUAUUUUCUUCCACGAAUAAUUUUCCGAAAUUAAUCGUCCCUUAAAACACCUCUAGGGACCAAUUAAACUAUUACCUCAAUGACGGAGACGGUAAAAUUCUUAUUAUAAUCAAGCUAGUAAAUAAGGUAAAAAUAUAAGGGUCGGGAUGUGACAAAAUCUUUGUGUAGAAUGUUGUAUAUGUAUCAACGAUUCAGUGCCAUGAAAACCCUGAUUACUAUUAGAAGGCUAGCUGACCAAAACCACAAAAAAGUUGGCAAACCAUCACACACACAAGACUGCAAUUCCUAGAAGAAAUCGAGCCGCAAUGGGAAACAAGGACUAUGACAUGAUAAAGUAAUUUGAGGUGCAUAUGGAAGACCAAAUGAUGAAUUGACAAUUGAGGAACCAAACCCUAAUAAACCCACAUCAGCAAGGUUGUUCUCGUUCAUUGUAACUCUGGUUUGAUUCACAAACUAAAAAGACAUGGCGAUGUAUGAAUGAAUUCUCAUAUCAAUCAUAUGAUGAUGCGGUUCUCGUUGAGAUAAUUAUAAUGUGACUUUACUUUGAGAGCUCAUGUAUAAAUAUAUUUUAUGAUAACAUUCAUGGAUUUAUUGAAAGGAAAGGAAGAAAGAAGAAGACUGAAAAGAAAGAAAACGCAGAGAACCGAAUGGACUACAUUUUGAAUAUUCUGAUACAAUCAACACAGAACAACUAUCCUCUAUAAAGGAGAAUGCAUAUGAUGAUAGAAUUCUAAAAUACCCUUCUAAAUAUACAUGCCUAUAUUCCUAACACUCCCCCUCAACCAUAUGCUUGGGCAUCAAGCAUAAUGGUUGCAAUACAUCAUAGCAGUAGGACUGGUUCUCCUUCAAUGGCCAACAUAAGCAACAUCACUCAAGGCAUUCCAGCAAUAGUAUCAUAAGCUUCAAUGAGAAUGUAAAUCGACCCCCAUGAUCAAUGCAUAUAGUGCUAUUAGAACUUAUAACUCCAUUAAGCACAAUCAAAUAUUGACCACCUUGAGUACCUUCAGUUCUCCAAAAGAAUUAUAAUGCUCAGAGAGAGGCCAAAGCCUUGUAGAAACUGAAAGGGGACCAAUCUGAGAAGGAGCACUACUAAAACUUUGUUCUUGGCAAUCAACAGAUGUAGAGAAAGCCCUGCCACAACAAUCAUAUUCAUGCACACACAAUGUAUGGAACUAUUGCAAAGAACAUUCCAGCAAAUCCAUUAUACUUGAAUCAUGAGAUUAAUGAUCAGAAGAAGGCAUUUCCAGGAGCUACGUUUUCAUCAAUCACUCCUAGGAAUCCAACUUGUUUCUUACUUUCUCUAUUGUUUCUCGAGCCAUCUGUACUUGUGCUUUGGCUACAGCAGAAAAAUGAACUAUGUGCAGGCUGCUUCUGAAUUUUCAUUGAUCUGUAGAUUAGGACAUAUAUUUGUACAGCCACGAAGCCAAACCACAAAACCCGUCAACACAAUUAGUGUCCAAUAACUGAUGAUUACUCCUUGUAGCCAUUGUACUCCGUCUGUGAUGUCCCAUCUUCAACACAAAUAGUGUUCAAUCAAGAUUUUCUAGCUCUAAACCUCAAAUAAGAAAGUCUAGAGCAGAUUUAAGAGACGAAGAAAUGAUUUGUUUCUGAAUUACUCACAACAUGAAAUCUGCUAGCUCAAAUACUUCUGCAUUAAAUGCCAAACUUCUAAGCUGCUGUCUAAUGUGUCUCCAUCCACUACCCAAUUUGAACUUUGUUGUGACUCACUGCAAUAUUUUCUUCAAAGAUUGUUAUACAGAGACCACCACCUCUAUUACAAUUCUACAAACAUGAACGAAG
rnacentral:lncRNA from 1 species